rnacentral:lncRNA from 1 species
AUGGAUGUGUUUUGUGAUAAAGGAGCAUUAUCUAUUCGUAUGGUCAAUUCUUCUGCACCCCGUACACCAUGUCCCUUCACCAUUGUAGAUAACUUCUUAGAAGUGAUUUCCUAUUUGAAUUUUCUCCCUGAUUAGUAUGCCUAUCUUUUUUUUUUUAAAGUAAAAUAUGGGCUUUUAUUAAUACUGAAAUGAAUUAGCAAUUACACCUCCAUACACUUCCGCGGGCAUGACCCAACCCACCACUAACCCAAUACUAAAAAGUAAAUAACUAAACAUAAAUUACUGGCCUAUUCUCAUUUCUAGAUCGACAUAUAUAUCCUUGUAUGUAGGGUUUCCUAAUCGUUCCCCUUUCAUUUUCAUUUCCCCUUUUUCCGCUCCUCUGUCUCUAUCUUCACUCUUCAUUGUCUCCAUCUUCUCUUGCUUUGGAUAAUCAAUGUGAUGUUAUUGGCCUCCUUGACUGCUGUUUCAACAAACAAGAGUAAGUAAUUAAGAUUUUUAUUUCUUAUUUCCUUUUUUGCUACUGAUGAUCUCCUUAUUUUCCAGCUGAGUUUUUGUGUUUUCCUGUAGUUGGUUUGUGACAGAGUGCAUGGAGCUCUGCCCUUCCACCUUUCGUUGAUGAUGACACAGACUCCUCCAGGUUAAAUUGUUCCAUCUUGCCUCCAGAUCCUCCCUUUCGAGACCUUUUUGCUGGCUACUGUAGUAUCUAGCUAACAUUUCACUUUUUGCUGCCUUUAAGGCUUUUGUAAAUAUUAUGUUUCGUGAAAAAUUCAUGUUGUAGCCUUGGUUGCCCCUAUCCCUUUAGCGGUGAUACUCUUAAAUAUGAACAUAGUAGCUAGUCAUUGUUAACUAUCUUUCUCCCUUCUAUCUCCAUGCUAUUAAAGUCUGUAAAAGAGAAAUUUCCUUUAUCUAUUGCUCUGUUUGCACAGUGAUCACUGCUAAUUUGUUUGCCCUCUCUUAGAAUAUACUGAAAAAUGACUUGUUUACCUUGUAAGCAUGCUUUGCUGUCUGAUACCAUGUCUGCAAUUAACCAUGGACAUGCCCAUUCACCCUCUAUCACUUUAUAUAAUAGCAUUGAAUCUGUCUGAAUGAUGAUUCGAUUGUUUUGUGUCUGUUUGCUAUGUUUGCUUGCCUCUAGUAUAGCCUUUGCUUCUGCAACUGUGUUAGUGGUAUCCUCUAUGCAUGCCCCUUCUGCAUAUUCAAUAUCUCCUUGUUCAUUCCGUACACAAAAUGCAUAUGAACUGAUUCCCGGAUUUCCCCUUGAUGCUCCAUCUGUAUUAUACUUUACCCAAUCUUUGGGUGGAAAUUCCCAUAGUAUCUUCUUGACCUUCAUUCUAGGACUGUAGUGCUGCAAGUGCUCCACCAUAUUAGGCCAGUUAAUAGGAAAAUUCAUGCUAGGUUUUCUCAUUUUUAUCAGCAUGUAUAUAUUCCUAGAAACAUUGUGGAUGAUUCUAGCUACUGUUGUUUUCUUUCCUUCAUGCUUCAUUCUAUUCCUUUUCCUCCAUAGUUCCCAUAUUACAAAGCUAGGUAUUGCUUUAUAAACUGCUUUUAUAUUCUUCCUUGUAUCAGUCCUCCACCACAGCAUUAUCACUUCUCUCAAUGCCUAUCGUAACUUGUAUGCAUAUCCUUGCAUACCACCCUCUUAAAAUUAUUGAGGUACACAUGGCUAUUUUUAGGAUUGCUCCCAUUUUACUUCCCACCUUUUUAGGAUGUUUUUGUCAUAAAAUUCAAUUGGGAUUUAUGGAAGUCUAAUCCAUAUUCCACUGUGAGUUAUACUUAAUUCUUAAGGGGAGAAAUUGGGUUCCCAUAAUUUUACGAAAAGGAAAUUGUCGAUUUUGAACCAUGGACCACCUUGGAGUGAUUUUUCCAUGAUCUCUAAUUGGAGAGUGAACUUUGCUAUGUGGAAUCCCCAUCCUAGAUCAAUUAGGGUAAACACUUCUAUAGGUUUCCAGAGUUCCGUCACUUUAAUUUUGAGAAACCAUGAUGUGAUAUUCUUUUUCCCAUUGGUUUGAUUAUUACUGAGUUUUUUAUGGGGAGAUAAAUUUUCUCUUCUCUUCCUCAGUGAGGUUGAUUUCAUUUUCUAUUUCGUUAUCCUUCUCUGUCUCUAUCUCUUCCAUCAGAAAUGAGUAGAUGUUUAUUUCUAGUUGUUUAUCCAUUAGGAGUUCAAUGAAGAAAUGUUUAGAUGGUAGAUCCUCCUUCGUUCUGUUCUUUUAUCAAGCCAUUCUGAUGUGGAUGUAGGUGUGAUACUUGUGACGGGGUAAAGAGUCAUGGUCAGAUUUCUAGGAUGAGUUUUUCCUAGAGAGAGAAUUUCCCUAUUUUUAUUUUUUUUACAUUUGGUAUUUAGUGGAUAGGAAUUAUGUUUUCUGUUGUUUUAUUUUUAUGAAAGAAGCUUUUAAUAAGAAGGAGUUGCUUGGAUGGUAAGCACCCCACACUUCCAACCUGGAGGUUGCGAGUUCGAAUCACCAAGAGAGCAAAAGGGGUGGGAGCUCCUAGGGAGGGGAAAAAAAUGACCUUACUUGAACAAGAUCUGUUCUAUAGGCUCGUACCAUUGUAUCCUUGAUUUCUAAGGAGACAGGAAACCAAGCUUGGUGGAUGAAAUUUGGCCAUGAGGCUAGAGCGUGACUAACAGCUUUGGUGUGACGCAGUAGAUGAUCGUUCUCAGGCCUCUAGUGGGUUUGGGGUGGUCUCUUAGCUUUCUGACAGACUUCUUAAUUGACAUACAGUAUGAAAAAAAUACAAAAAAAAAGUGAGAUUUCGAUGGCCUUUUGUUAAUUUUUUUUUUUUUUUUUUUUCUUUAGAAAGAAAGGUGUUCAUUUUUUUUUUGCUUAAGAACGAAAGGAUUCAUUUAUUAAUAAUCAUAGUAGGUUUAUACAUACAAAAGAGGAACUAAUCUAAACGAUAUAGUUCCCAUGGCAUCUGGAUGAUACGAAUGAAGGAGAUGCGUCAAAAACAUAGAGUUGUCCCCUACAUAUAUUGGGAUCCUUAGUUUUCCUUUCGUGUACUGCAAGUAGGUCCGCUAUUGUAUUAGCUUCCCUUGUUGUUCUCUCCAUCUACUUUAGGAUUGCUCUACAAUCUGCAUAUAUAUGUGAGUAUACACGAGAGUUAUUAUUUAGAUUAUUUAAUAAUACAUUUAAUCUUUUGGCCAGAUUCAGGCCAUUUAGUAGCGCUAGUAUUUCUGCAUGGUGUGCAUUUUGGACUUUGAUUUUGCAUGUAAAACUGUAAUCCAUUUUCCAAAAUGAUCUCUUAUUACACCCCCCCCCCCCUGCCUCCAUUAGUAGUGUUUUGUUCAAAUGGGCCAUCAAUGUUUUGUUUUGAUACUCCUUCUGGGGGUCUAUGCCAAGCCACUGGAACCAUAUGUCUCAGAAUUAUUUUUGAGGGGAGGGGGGGUAUAUGCUAGGUGGUAAUAUUUCAGUGCUUGAAAAUUAAUAUUAUAGGUGGUACCGGGAUACCUAGUUACCUACUGAUGUUUUGGUUUUUAUAGAGCUUAGUGUUUCUAAUUUUCCAGAUAUUCCAAAGAAUGACUGGUGCGAGAAUUGUUAUAGGCACCUUGUGGUGGUUGUUUAGGGUACUAUAUUUUAUGGAGGUACACAAUUGAUGGAUAUUCUCGUGAAAAUCUGAGUUGUUGAUUGAUAUGUUGAAUUUUUUCCAUAUGAAUUGUGCAUCAGGGCAAAUUGAAAAAAAUAUGUUUAGUGUCCUUUGGACAGGAGCGGCAAUUCUUAGAAGUGAUAAUAUUCCUAUAAUAUAAUGUCGAAGAGUCGGGAGCUUAUUUGAGAGUAUAGUCCACAAGAAGAAUUUUAGUUUGUUUACUGAUUUAAUCUUCCAAACCCAAUCAUGAUUGAAGCUUGUGGUUGUGAUGUUAGGAAUAUUUCGUAGGCGCUUCUCGUGCUAAAAUUUCCAUCACUAUUUUUGUUCCAGUAGAAAGUCGUGUCAUCAUUUGUGUUAGUUGAUUGUUGAGUGUAAGCAUUUAUAAUACAUUUUCUUAUAUUGUCAGGGAUUUCGAAAGAAAUAUUUGUAAAAAAUCCCAUGUAUUAUUUUUUAGUAAAUGAUUUACUCGGAGAUUUCCAUCUGAUUUAUUUAUAGGUCCUUGUGCGAUUUGUCGAAAGGUGCAGGCUCCUUCGAUCCAUUUACCCUCCCGAAUCAAUAUUUUAUUCUCAUUUCCUAUAGUCCAAGAAACUCCUUCCUAGAAAAGUUGAGACAUUUUAGCAAUGCUUUUCCAAAUAUAGAUAGCAGUGAAUUUUGGAUGUUAGGCAUCUAUUCUUAUAUUUUGUUGAAAGUACUUUAUUCCAUAGUUGACCCUUUUUUGUAAGAAACCUCCAAUUUAAACUUGUCAAAAGGGCGAAAUUUUUUCCGUUAGUUUUUUGAAGUCCUAGCCCCCCCUUUAUCAGUAGGGGUAGUCACCAAAUCCCAAUUAGCAAUGUGAAGUCUUCUUUUUUUCUAGCGAUGAACCCCACAAGAAGUUUCUUUGAAUGUGAUCUAUAUGAUUAAGGGUUGAUUGCGGAAGGAGAUUACAUUGCAUUACGUACGUAGGAAUGGUGGAAAGAACCGAUUUAAUUAAGGUAGUCCUACCUGCUAUGUUUAAGAAAAACCGCUUAAUUUAUUAUUCAUAUGGUCUAUAAUAUAUUGGUAGUCGGAACUUUUAGGGUGGUGGUUUGUGAUCGGAAACCCUAAUACUUUCCUAUCUUAUUUGUUUGGCGAAUAUUCACAAAGGGAGGAUAGUUCAUCUCUUUCCUUGACGUUUACAUUUGAGGAAAAGUAUAAAGUAGAUUUUUGAAAGUUUAUUUUUUGCCCUGAUUGUAAAGAGAGGAUAUUGAAGAUGUGAAUGAUCGUGGAGGCGUUAGUAAUAUCCGCCUUUGCCAUAAGGAUAAUGUCAUCUACGAAUAAGAUCUGCAAGAUGGUUGGGCCUAUUUUAUCAAUUUUUAGAGGUUGCCAAAGGCGCUCCUGAGUGGCGUAACUAAUAAGUCUAGAAAGGAAUUCCAUACAAAUGAUGAAAAUAUAUGGUGAUAAAAGGGUCUCCGUGCCUAAUACCCCUAGUCAGAAGGAAGUUGUUUGUAGGUCUCCCGUUUACUAGUAUAAAGAUGGAAGAGGUGGAUAUGCAAGACAUAAUAAUGUUAUUUGAAAAAUUCAAGAUCAUUAAAGAUUGCUUUAUGAACGACCAUUCUAGUCUAUCAAAUGCUUUUUCAAGGUCGAUUUUUAAAAGCAUUUUACCAAAUUUGCCUUUAGUCUUUUGAAAAGAGUGAAUGGCUUCUUGGACAAUUAUAGCGUUAUCCACCGAACGUCUUCUAGGAAUAAAGCUACACUGGUGGGGGCUUAUGAUAUUAUCUAGAUAAGGUCAGAUUCUAUUAACUAUGAUUUUUGUGAUAGUUUUGUAUAUAGUGUUACAAAGACUAAUAGGUCUAUAGUGAUUAAUUUGUUCUGAAUUUUUUAUUUUUGGAAUAAGGCAUAUAAAAGUUUUUUUAAGUUCACUGGGAACACAGUGUGUUCGAAAAAAUUUCAUGCACGUAUUAACCACAUAUUCUUUCGUUUCCUCCCAAUAUUUUUGAAAGAAUAGAUGGUGCAGUCCAUCUGGACCAGGAGAUUUAAGAGGUUUGAAAGAAAAGAUGGUGUUUUUAAUUUCGUCUUUUUCGAGGGGUCUCCCUAUUAACCUUAUCUUCUAUAGAUAGCGCGUUUCUGCAUGUAGUAGGGGUAGACCAAUAGCUCCUAUCCAAUACCGUGGUGUAAAUAUUUUUGAAGUAUUGGGUUAUAGCAUUGUUGAUGAUGUUUGGAUCAUACGUCCAAUUUCCUACCACAUCAUUUAGUCCCAGGAUAUUAUUUUUCCUUCUUCUAUUAGUUAUCGAAACGUGAAAAAAUUUAGUAUUCGCAUCCCCUUCAUUUAGCCAUAAAGACUUUAGAUUUAAGUUUCCAUAAGUCUUCUUCUCUUUUUAGGAUCUCAUUGUAAUCGUUUAUCAACAUGUUUUCCAGCUCUAUGUGGUGGUGAUUUUUUUGUGUGCUAUCCAUAUUUUGUAGCCCAUUAAUUCUAUUUAGGAUAGAUUUCUUUUGAUGGAAGAUAUUACCAAAAAACUGUUUAUUCCACACUUUUAAAGUUGUAGUGAAUCUUUCUAGGGCAUUGUUAUAAUUUUCAUUAUUUUUCCGGUUGCUACUAACUAAGCAGUGGCGGAUCCAGGAUUUUCACGAAGUGGGUUCAAGUUAUAAAAAAUAAAACUGUGGCAACAGGGAUUCAAACUCGGGUUGGCUGGGAAAAUUGAACCCUUUUCACCACUCAGCAAAGGGUCACACUUGUGUUAUUGGGGUCAAAAGUUAAUAUAUACAUAUAAAAUUUUAAAAAUUGAUUAAAUAUACAUAUAUAUACGGUGUUAUUUUUCAACGAAGUGGGUCAUAUGAACCCACUUGACCCACUGUAGGUCCGCCCCUAUAACUAAGUUAGGGAAAUCCGGAUGCCUGAGCCACAUGGUAUAAUUUACGUAAACAUUUUAUAAAAAUAAGUAUGUACCUUCUGGGCUAAUAUUGCAACGAGCUUUUGAGAAAACAUAAUGUAUAAACAUCAGUAUAUUAUAUUUACUUCCUUUACUAUAAUCUCUAUAUUAAAAUUUUAGUAUAAUUAAAUCAAACAAAAUAACUGAAGGCCAUAUGAUAAUAAGGAUCGUUUGAACAUGAUUUUAAGUCGGUCAUAUUUUUAGGUGAUGUUAUUUAGAUUUCUUAUUUUGUAUACUUUCUUAUAAAUGUGAAAACUUAGUAAUUUAUAAAAAACUAUCAAAAAUUAUAAAAAAAUAUUAUACAAUUUUAUCAAAAAAGAAAAUUUAAUUUGUCCAUCUAUUUUAUUUGUCCAUGUUUCCCUUCCUAGUUCGCACUAAUAAAAUGAUAAAUUUUCUAUGUUACCCUUUUUGAAUAUGAUAUAUUUAAUAUUCUAAAAAAAAUUAUAGUUAAUAAUAAGAAUAAAUUAAGAGCCUCAUGAUAAUUAUUUACUGAUUUUUCAAACUAUACAAAUAAAAAUGAACGGAGAAAAUAAUACAUAAACAAAGUAUCUAAAUAUCUUUAAACUCCAAAUUAAUAAAUCAUAUAUCUGCUACUUUUAGAAAAAAAUAAACUUUAAAUUAUUUUUUAUAUAAAAAAUUUAUAAAUAAACAUUAGUUUAAAAUCAAAUCUCGAAUUUAUAUAUUAAUAUAGUCUGGUCAUGUCAAAAUUAAGUAAUAUAUAUAUAUAUAUAUAUAAAGCUGAAUCAAAUCACGCUGAUGUGGCAUGUUUCAUUGAUCAAUAUACUAUUUAUUUAUUUAUUUAGAAUUUUGAAUUUUUUUCCUCUCAUUUUCUGUUCAAUAACCUUUUAAAACAAUUAUUCACUUUCCUUAUUAUUAGCCUUCACUACAUUUAACUCUUCCUUCAAAAAGGAAAUAUGUAACAUCUAAAUACAUAAUGAUGCAAUUAAUGUGCAUUAUCACGCAUUUUUUCCUAUUAAAUCAUUGCUUCAACCCACGUAUUAUCAGUUUUUUUAUAAUGCUUAAUCACCUAUAAUUAAUUAGACAAUUCAUUCUCCUAUUUAUUCAAACCUUCUUAGACAUUUUCCUUUGGGGUUUCAUGUAAGUAUUUUUUUUCAUAACUUCUUAUACCUUUUUGGAGGGUUUCAUGUAGUUUUUUUUCUUCUCUUUCAUCUUCUUCCUUUUAUUUUAUCCAUCCUUGAUUUUUAUUUUAAUGUAUAUAUGUUAGCAUCAUUUUAAACAGGAUAAUUACUAUGAAGCUUUUUUAUUAUGAAGAGCAGAAGAGGUAAGCCAAUAGUUGAUUUUAUCAAUUCUUGAUUUUAUUUUUAACGUAUGUAUAUAUGUUAUCAUCCUUUGAAAAGGAUAUUACUAUGAAGCUUUUUGAUAUAAGCCAAGAGUUUUUUAUUAUUAUUAUUUUAUCAAUAUCAAUGUUAUUUAAUUUAUAAAAGAUUUUAUUUUAGUUUUAGGAAGUUAAGUUCUAAUUCUAUUCAAUAUGUCUCUCUCCCUAAAUCUAAAUCUGUAUAGUAUAAUAUUAAAGUUAAGUAUACACAAGAUAAUAUUAAAGUGAUGUGAUAUUUCUUUAUGUUCAUCAAAUUUAAUUAUGUUUUUUUAUUUGAAUUUAUCUAUAUAUAAUAUAAAGGAGGAUCUUCAUCCUGAUGUGGCAUGUCUCAAUGAUCAGAAAAUGUAUUUAUCUAUUUUCUUAAGAUUUAGACAUUUUUCUCUAUUUUUUACACAAUUGUAUUAGUAAUAAUUAUUAAUUAAUGAUCAUUUAUACCUUUCUAUAGAUAUAAGGAAUUCCAAUGGUUAUCAUUUUGGCAUUUUUAAACUAUACUCAUUUCAUUCCCCCUAUAAUCAAUAUUUACUUCCCCAUAAUUAGUGUGCUUAAUUAAGGAAAAAAUGGUUACAUAAUUUCAUUAAAAGCUGAAUAUAGCACAAGUUGAUGUGGCACCUCUCAAAAGCCACCAUUUCUAUUUAUCUUUUUUCCCUUUUUUUUUUUUACAUUUUUAAUUCAUUUUUAUACCUAAUCUACUAAUUAAAUAUAUUAAAUGAUUUAUGACCUCUUAAUUCAUGAUUAAAGAGUCAAUAAUGAAAGAAUAUUAUUAUGAACAAAUUUCAAAACGUUUUAACUUGUUUAAAACCUUCACAAAAACAUAUCAAUGUUAAAAUUAAGGAAAUCCUUACCAUUAAUAAUAUAUAUAUAAAAAACUCUUCAUUUUUAUUUUUCAAUAAGUUUUUUCAGUUACAACAUAAUUUUGCAUUAUUUAAUUAUAGAAGUUGAAAGGUUUCUGCACCAUUAAAAUGAGAAGACAACUAUAUAAACAAAAUAUAUUGACCAUCUCAAUUUUUUCAUGAAUCAAUAUGAACUUUAUGCAGUAUAAAUCUACAAAAGUAGAUAGAAUAGAAAGAAUGCAUCCAAAAAAAAGACCAUAGAAAUUCAAAUUUAUUUUGUAAUCUCAAAUACAUGAACAUUACUACUACAUUUGCGUUCUUGUAGUAAUGCUGGAUCAUCAUAACUCUUCCUUGAUCACCUUUCAAGAUACAAAACAUCAUUCACGUGAUAUAAGAAAAGGAAGGCUACUGCUAAGCAUUUGAAAUUUGACUGACAUUUGAGAGUAAAACAAGAAGAAGACAAGAAGCUUUAAUUGAAAUUUUUGUAGAAGUUUUAAUCUAAAUCUACAAUUAUUUUGAUAGGUAUAUUUGUCAACCCAAACUCUUAUAUGAAUAUUGUUGUUUUUCUUUUUUUGUCAUCUUUUUCUUUCUUUUUUUCAUUGAAACACUUUGAAUUUGUAUGACAAAAAAAGUAACAAUAUUUCAAGAAAGAAUUGACAUUGAGGGAUUUUGCUUAACAUUAGGAAGAGACAAAGAAGAAAAUAUAUAAAGUAUUGUAGAAGAGAAAGAGAUAUCAAAACAAAUAAAGAGGGCUAAGAUAAAGAUGUCAAUAAAAAGAAGUAAAAGAAAAGGUUAUAUAUAUAAUAGGGAUAAGGGUCUGAAAAAUAUCCUAUCUUUGAUUGGAUUUGCUGUUGCGAUACUAAACUUUUCAUGAGGACCUAUUACCUCCCUAGACUAUUUAAUACCGUAUUUUAAACAUAUAUAUUUGCCCCACGUGGACAUAAAAAAUAAAUGCAAAAUUAUAAAUAGUAAUGUGUCCAUGUGGACACAUAUAUACCUUUAAAGUACACUAUUAAAUAGUUCAGGGGGUAAAAAAUACGAUAUUAAAUAGUCUAGGGAGGUAAUAGGUCCUUAUGAAAAGUUUUAGUAUAGCAACAUCAAAUCUGACCAAAGUUGGGGUAUUUUUCAAACCCUUAUCCCUAUAUAAUAUUGUCAAAUUAAAUUUUAAUAGAUAUAGAUUGAUUCAUUUAUUUUGUUUCCAUAUAUAAGUCUUAGUAUGUUUCAUAUAUAUAAUAUUACCAAAUUAAAAUUUAAAUACAAAGAAUGAUUCAUUUAUUUUGUUCCAUAUUUAAGUCUUACUAUGUUCCAUGUAUAUAAUAUUGUCAAAUUAAAAUUUAAUAUACAAAAAAUGAUUCAUUUAUUUUAUUCCAUAUAUAAGUUUUAGCAUAUUCCAUAUAUAGUCUCCUUAAUUUAUAGAGAAUAAUAAUGAAUUAUUUAAAUGACAGGAGAUAUUAUUUUAUUUUAUUUUUAAAAAAAGAGGGUCUUUUAAUUUAAAUUUAUUAUGAGUAGAAUAAGAUAGAAAAUGACUUCAAAUUUGAGAGAAAAAUUUAAAAAUAAAGGUUAUAAUUAAGAAAGGAUCAUAAUUAACGUUAGGAAAAAAAGAAAAAGAAAGGCAUUAAGAAGAAAAAAAAAAGACUGCCGAAACUAUGAAUUGGAUUGUAUCAUUUCCUAUGUAUUCAGUUUCUUUUUUAGUUUAUUUAAUGUUUUUGAAUAAAAUUCAUCUAUAAAAAAAACUAUGAUUAAAUGCAUACAAAUAUAUUAAUAACGACUAAAUUUUCCAAAAGUAUACUUCACAAACUUGUACUUUGUAUAUAUUACAUAACAAAGUAAAUAAAAGAUCUGAUUAAAAUUUAUAGAUAUUAUAUUUUACAAAUUUAUCAAUAUUAUGUGUUAGUAUAUCAUAUAACAAAGAAAUUAUAAAUAAAAAUAUUUUUAUUUAUUAUUCUCACAUAAUUUUAUGAAUGAAUUUGUUUUUAAUAUCGUAUAAAUUUUAUUUGAUAAAUUCGUUGAUGUUUGUAAUUUGUAUAAAAUUGCAAGGAAUGAUGUAGUAGUACCUUCUAUAGGUAAAAGAAAAAAGGUUAUUCUAUUUUAUUUUAUUGGUAAUUUUAUCUUCGUUCUUUUUAUUUUUGUAACUUAUGUUUUUCUUAUUCGACACCUAUAUUAAAGUUUGUAAUAUAUUUUUUAAAUAAUUCACAAUUAUCGAUUAACUCAAAUAUAUACUGUCUAAAGGUUAUUUUAUUUUCAUAAAAAGAUGAUAUAAUAAAUUUAAAUACUUUUACGACCGCGCGAAGCGCGGCCACUAGUUAUAUAAUAAGACCAACGAAAUCACUUCAUGCAUGUUUAUGUGCUGACUGCUGCCUUCUUAUAAAUUGAUUAAACUCCUUUUUAUAAUACGGUAGACAUUGAAAUUUUACGGACUCUAUGAGACGUGUUUAAUUUGAAUUGAGACUCUAGAAGAUGUGUUCAGUUUCAAUUAGAAUUUUAGGAGGCUACUCAACCCUAAACCCUAUAUAAUGGGUACUAAACUCCCUUAAAAGGCAUCUCAAAAUAUCCCAUAAACUCUUGGGUAUUUUUAAAGGGGAAAAUUGUAUAUAAUAGCAAACUAUUAAUUCAAAUUAAAUGCUAUAAAUAUACUUUUGAUUUAAUUGUACCAUAUAGCAAACUAUUGCUAUUUUCGCCACUCUCCCUGGUGGAAUCUCGCUCGCCACUCUCGUUUGGUGGCAGUAUCGCUCGCCUCUCUCGCUUUUAUACAAACACAAAUGUAUAAAAAUGUGUUUGUGUUUGUAUAAAGCGAGAGAAAAUUGUAUAUACACAUGCAAAGACAUAUAUCUUUGUCCUAUGCACUUAUAAUUAUACAAUACAAAUAUUUCUCUGCCCAGUUUUCUUUUGCCUUUCUCUCUUUUUCAUUUUAUACAUACACAGAUUAUACAAUUGAUCUUUUGUAUACAACUGCUUUCUUUUGUAUAUGUAUAGCGAAUUAUACAAUUGUCUUCUUUGUAUAUGUAUAACGAAUUAUACAACUGUUUUUUGUAUAUGUAUAGCGAAUUAUACAUAUAUAUGUUUGCUAUGGAGCGCAAUUAUGCAAACUUUGCUAUAGCAUACAAAUAUGAAUUUUGUGUUUGCUAUAUGUGAAAGUUGCUCUUUUUAAAGAUCAAGAUCUCAAAAUAUUCCACAAAAGUCAUGGAAUAUUCAUAUAGAGGUUAAAUCUAAAUCAUCCUAGUUCGAGAAAUACGCCACUAACGGCCCUCGAAUCAUGGAUAAAUCUUAGAAGAGUAGAAUCAAGGGAGGAACAGAAUUGUACCCGCAUAUCUUGAUCAAUAAAAUCAUGUUUCUUCAGAUUUUAUUUGUGUGGUUUAUUUAUUUUCCAUAUGUUUAAAAUUUGUUGCAAACAAAUACAACACUUAAUUUAUUUCAAACUUUUUUAGUUUUUAAAUUUCAUGUCAAGUUAAAAUAGACUAAACAAAUUGAAACAAAAAAAAUAAUCUUUAUGAUUGAUCUUUUAUUAGAAAACUAGAUACAAGAGCAUGUAUCAACACGAAUCCAAAAUAUAUUACUAUCUCAAUUUAUGUGGCUUAGAUAGAUUUAGAUAACGAAACAAAGUUUUUAUUUGACCUAAAUUUUUGUGUCUUUUUAAAAAAAAAUAUUUUUAGUUGUUAAUUAUCACUCUCUCUGUCCAUCUUUACUUGUUUAUUAUAUUAUUUUGAAAUGUCCAAGUCCAACAAUAUUAAUUGUCUAGUUUAUAAUACCAUGAAUAAUUUAUCAUGUUGUUCUAUUUCAUCCUUGCUAUUAAAUAUAACUCUUUCUGUCCAACAAUAGUUGUCCACUAUACUAUUUUGAAAUAUCCAACAAUACUUGUUUCCUUUAUAAAAUCAAUGAAUGAUUUUACAGUAAGUUCCUAAUUUAUCCUUAUCAUUAAUUAUAAUCAUUUUUCUAUUACAUUUUCAAGACAUUGUAUUAAUUAUAUUCAAAUGAUGAUAUAAUAAAAUUACAUUCUAUUUAUAGUUUCUUAAGAAGUGUCAAAGUCAAUAGUGGACAAGCAUUAUUGAAUAGAAGAAAAUAUUCAUUUUUUAAUGUUUAGAUGAGUUAUACUUAAUAAGGGCGAUUUAGUAAAAUACAUUUAUUAUCUACUGUUUCUUGAUCAAUAUACCAAGUCAAUAGUGAACAACUAUUAUUGAAUAAAAGGGUAUGAUUUAUAAUAUUUUUCAUGUAAUUUCUUUAUAAUAAUAUUUUUAAGCAAUCUCUUAAUAGUUAAAUUAUUGAAAUUUUCGUUUUAAUAAUUAAAAUGACAAAGCUACCUUUUCAAUGCAAUUUUCUAAUUCCAAAAAACACAUGUAUAAUAAAAUUAAGGGAAAUAUCGUUUUUAAUUGUAUGCUUCUAGACUCUAGUUGCUUCUACUUUUUUUUAUAUUUUUUAUAAUAUAAUCACAUCCACUCACGUAUAUUAUUUUAAAUUUUCCUGCUAUAAUUGUCCCACAUGCUUAGUGCUUACUCAAACAGAACUUUAAUAAUUUUCCUUUGCUCCUCGUUGAUAAUGAUUUAGAGACGCAUAAUAUUUAUUACUUAGUUUCUAAAUGAUUUAAAGCCACAUAAUAUUUUCUUACUACUUAGUCUUUUUUUUAAAAAUGUGUCAAAUUUAAGUAAUUCAUAUUAUGGGACGAAAGGAAUAUAUGUUUUUAAGUGUAUAUAAGAAGCUAGAGUAAUAUUUUUUACUCAGAAAAUUGUCCACCAUGAAUAAUUUAUCAUGUUGUUCUAUUUUAUCCUUGCUAUUAAAUAUAACUCUUUCUGUCCAACAAUAGUUGUCCACUAUACUAUUUUGAAAUAUCCAACAAUACUUGUUUCCUUUAUAAAAUCAAUGAAUGAUUUUACAGUAAGUUCCUAAUUUAUCCUUAUCAUUAAUUAUAAUCAUUUUUCUAUUACAUUUUCAAGACAUUGUAUUAAUUAUAUUCAAAUGAUGAUAUAGUAAAAUUACAUUCUAUUUAUAGUUUCUUAAGAAGUGUCAAAGUCAAUAGUGGACAAGUAUUAUUGAAUAGAAGAAAAUAUUCAUUUUUUAAUGUUUAGAUGAGUUAUACUUAAUAAGGGCGAUUUAGUAAAAUACAUUUAUUAUCUACUGUUUCUUGAUCAAUAUACCAAGUCAAUAGUGAACAACUAUUAUUGAAUAAAAGGGUAUGAUUUAUAAUAUUUUUCAUGUAAUUUCUUUAUAAUAAUAUUUUUAAGCAAUCUCUUAAUAGUUAAAUUAUUGAAAUUUUCGUUUUAAUAAUUAAAAUGACAAAGCUACCUUUUCAAUGCAAUUUUCUAAUUCCAAAAAACACAUGUAUAAUAAAAUUAAGGGAAAUAUCGUUUUUAAUUGUAUGCUUCUAGACUCUAGUUGCUUCUACUUUUUUUUUAUAUUUUUUAUAAUAUAAUAAAAUAUAAUCACAUCCACUCAUGUAUAUUAUUUUAAAUUUUCCUGCUAUAAUUGUCCCACUUGCUUAGUGCUUACUCAAACAGAAAACUUUAAUAAUUUUCCUUUGCUCCUCGUUGAUAAUGAUUUAGAGCCACAUAAUAUUUAUUACUUAGUUUUUAAAUGAUUUAAAGCCACAUAAUAUUUAUUACUAAAAAUAAUUGUGUCAAAUUUAAGUAAUUCAUAUUAUGGGACGGAAGGAAUAUAUGUUUUUAAGUGUAUAUAAGAAGCUAGAGUAAUAUUUUUUACUCAGAAAAAUGGAGACAAUUCAAAUGAUAGUAACAAUAUGUUGUUGUGCCAUAGCAAUUACUCUGUUAUGGAAAGUACUGAAUUGGGUUUGGUUCAAUCCAAAGAAGUUGGAGAAUUUGUUGAGGAAACAAGGGCUAAAAGGGAAUUCAUACAGACUAUUAUAUGGGGACAUGAAAGAUGUUACUAGAAUGAUUAAGGAAGCUAAUUCAAAGCCUAUGAAUAUGUCUGAUCAUGAUUUAGCACCAAGAAUGAUGCCUUUCUUUCUUGAAACCAUCAACAAAUAUGGUAUGUUUUCAACUUAACUUGUUAUAGUAGGUUUAAAUUUACUAAAUUUUGUACUGUGUGAUAGUGUGUAUAACUUAAAUUCAUUAACACGAUCAGAGUCAGAAAUUGAAGUUUAUAAGUUUUGAAUAUGACAUGACAUAAAUUCAUAGCCUUUUUAUAAGUUAUUGAGUAACUGGUAAAGUUGAUGUCAUGUGAGCAAAGUCGUGGAAACAACCUCAGAAAUACAGUUUAAGGCUGUUUACAAUAUACUUUGAUGAUGUUGCACCAAGAAUGGUGCUAUUCUUUGUUGUAAUCAUAAAGAAAAAAAGAAAUUUUGAUCAUUUAUUCAAUAAAAACAUGUAAAUCUUCUGUCAUACUUUUAUUGAUAAUCUGGUGAAAAUAAUACUAACUAGUUUUUCAUAUAAGUAGUAGAUUAAAUUCACUAAUUUGUUAUCCAUUCAUUUCCACAAACGAAGAUAGAAUUUGAAGUUUAUGUUUUUUGAACUUGAAAUUGAACCCUUAGUUUUCUUUAGUUAUGAGGUUUGCAAUUAAAAAUAUUUGUACAUAUUUAAUGAACUUGCUAAUACAAAUAAGAAGUUUAGCUCGAAGCUCCUUGGUGUAUGUAGUUUGUUUCAACUUUCUUCGAAUUCGAUGAAAUUGUAAUGAGCCUGUUCUCCUGAAUUGUUUUUUUUUUUAAUCUAAAGAUCACUCUGUUCUCUUCAAUCGGUUUAAAUGUUUUAUUUUGAAAUUAGUACUAGUAGUAGUUAAUCAUGAGACAUGCAGGGAAAAAAUGUUUUACAUGGAUGGGUCCAAAACCACAAGUAUUGAUCAUGGACCCUGAGCUUAUAAAGGAAGUACUCUCGAAAACUUAUUUGUAUCAAAAGCCUGGUGGAAAUCCAUUAGGCAGCUUAUUUGUACAAGGAUUAGUAAGCUAUGAGAAAGACAAAUGGGCCAAAAAUAGAAAAAUCAUCAAUCCCGCGUUCCAUCUAGAGAAGUUAAAGGUAUGUCAUUCAACUUUGUGAUUGGUCAACCAGAAACUAUUAUGUUGGGCAAUUCUUACUCUAUCGAUGGAUAAAAUCUUGCUUCUAUCUCCUUUGAUUUAUCGUUUAAUCUAAACUUUAAUGUCAUAUGACUAUUUCGAGUAAUAUAAUAUGUGCUACCUGAUUUGAAAGUAGACAGGCAUAGUAGUGGUUCUAUAGGGACGGCAAUGUUGUAGAUUUUUCUUCCACCAAUUGAUAAUAUGCUCGCUCUUGCUUAUCUGGCUAAUGUUCCGGUUAAACAUCUCUUUCCGCUUUGACUUUGUUUUCAAUUUGAUCUUGUAUGUAUUCCACAUAUGACUAUUUUGAGUGAUUUCUGCUGCAUAUUUUGAGUUAAGACAAUUGGAGAAUCAUUUUAUGGUUCAAAAAAGUCGAAUCUUGUCUCGAUCACCAUUUGUCAGGACUAUAUUUGCGUAGCUUGUACUAAAUGUUGCUCUUUAUGCAUUCAGAGAGGACUAUGCUCGAUCGGUGGAAGAUUCUUAGAUACGGAUCUGUUUAUUCCCACCUUAUUUGUUAUAUGAACGAUCUUUCUUUUGAUUUAACCAGCAACUUGUACUAGAUGGUGAUGGCAAUUCCUAAUUCUGUUCAAGUGUUAGUGUCAUUGACAUUAGUCCUCUCUCAAACAGCAUAUGCUUCCAGCUUUUUACUUGAGCUGUAGUGAGAUGCUGAGCAAAUGGGAAGACGUUGAAGGCUCUCAUGAGAUAGAUGUAUGGCCUCACCUGCAGCAAUUGACUAGUGAUGUGAUCUCUCGGACAGCUUUUGGUAGUAGUUAUGAAGAAGGUAGAAAGAUUUUUGAACUUCAAAAUGAACAAGUUCCGCAUUUUAUCGAAGCUAUGCGCUCAGUUUAUAUCCCAGGAUGGAGGUAGCUUAAUUCCCCUAAGAAUGUAGCUGUAGUCCUCUAUUACAAACUACACUAAUUGAUUAGUUCUAAUUUUUGUUUUGUGUUACAAUUUCAAAGAUUUUUGCCAACAAAGAGGAACAGAAGAAUGAAGGAAAUAAAGAAGGAUGUUCGGUCCUUAAUUAGAGGUAUUAUUGAUAAAAGAUUGAAGGCAAUGGAAGCUGGGGACGCCGAUAAUGAGGAUCUAUUGGGCAUAUUGCUGGAAUCAAAUUUUAAAGAAAUUGAACAGCAGGGCGGAAACAAGGACUUUGGAAUGAGCAUCGAUGAAAUCAUUGAAGAAUGCAAGCUGUUCUAUUUUGCUGGAUCAGAAACUACAUCAGUGUGGCUCCUAUGGACUCUGGUGCUUUUAAGCAGGUAUCAAGAUUGGCAGGCACAGGCCAGAGAAGAAGUCUUGCAAGUGUUUGGGAGUCGGAAACCAGAUUUUAAUGGAUUAAAUCGUCUAAAAGUUGUAAGUAUUCUAGUUUUGUUGGUUCAAUUUCUGUGCCAUGCUUGAUAUAACUACUGAUAGAGGAGCAUGCAUGUUACAGGUAACGAUGAUCUUGUACGAGUCAUUAAGGCUAUAUUCCCCGGUAACAACACUUACCCGACUAGCUAUUGAAGACAUUACGCUAGGAGAAGUAUCUUUACCAGCUGGUGUGCUAGUUUCAUUGCCAACGGUCAUAUUGCAUCAUGAUAAAGAGAUAUGGGGUGAAGAUGCAAACAAGUUCAAUCCAGAGAGAUUUAGAGAAGGAAUAUCAAGUGCAACAAAGGGUCAAGUUACAUAUUUUCCAUUUAGUUGGGGUCCAAGAAUAUGCAUUGGACAAAAUUUUGCCAUGUUGGAAGCAAAGAUGGCUCUGUCUAUGAUCCUACAAACCUUUUCUUUCGAAUUGUCUCCAUCUUACACACAUGCUCCUCAAUACUCAGUAACCGUUCAGCCUCAGUAUGGUGCUCCUCUUAUUUUCCACAAACUAUAAUUUGAUAGACUUUGUUCACAUUCCGUUCACGGGUGAAGUUACAAUAUUAGAUAUAGGUUCUGAAACAAUUUCUCUACCGCAUAAAAAUAGCGGUUAGUGUGUAUUCCCCACCCUCCCUUAACCCGUAUAUUGGGUAUGUUGUUGUUGUUGUGCUCAUAUAUAAAUAAAUAUUUUAAUUACAGACCAAUAACUCAAAUGACCAAUAACUCAAACAAGAUAUGGAUUCAAUGGCAAGUUCAUAAUUAAUAAACUUUAAAUCUUGAAUCGUAAAUAUUUUAAUUGCAGACUCAAUAACUAAAAUGAGCUAUGAAUUUAAUGACAAGUUCAGAAUUCAUAAACUUUAAAUCCUGAAUUGAAAACUAUUCUUUUAUGCAUCAUUCAAAUAAAACAAGGAACCUAUAACGAAUAUGUUUAAAUUGAAGAAUGGCAAACAAACACCGUUUUCAUUGAAAACUAUUUUUUUAUGCAUCGUCCAACAUGGAUACUCUUUAACCAAAAACAAAUGUUUAUAAAAAAUUCUCAAAUUCUUUUUAACUUUUUAAAAAAAAAAAAAAAAAACCAACUUAACUCGUUUUUUUUUUUGUGCCGGUCACCUUUUUUUUGGUGAUUCAAAAUUCGAUCAUUUCCUCUUUUUUUUUAUAACAACAGUUUAUUUUUAAGCCAAAUUUAUUAGACGGAAAAGGGCCUAAAAUACCCUUGAAGUAUUAGAAAUGGUACAAAACUACCCCUCAUUCACCUAUUGGCUCCAAAAUACACUUGUCAUCCAAUUUUGGGUCCAAAUUUGACCACUUUUUAACGAAGAUUCAUUUAAAUUAUUUAAUUAUUUUUUAAAAUACAUAGCGCUCAAUCACUGAUUAUUUUAAUUAAUUAAUAAGUAUAAUUUAUAAACCCUCUCAUUACUAAUUAAACUUGUCCCAAUUAAUACACUCACCCCAAAUUAUAAUUGCCCACCAAUUAAACAUAACCCUUUCACCCUUCAUUCCCAAUACAUGUAUAGAAACAUUGCUUAAUUACUCAAUUAUGUGUCUCUUCUCUGUAUAUUUUUAGCUAUAUUAGAUUUGACUUAUAUUUCUGUUCAUUUCCCUCAUCAAAGUAAUGCUGAUUAGGUUGUUAGAACAAAAAAUUAAGUCAAAUCUCUUGUCCUGUAUUUCAAACUCUUAAUCGAUCAUUUGUCACAAAACUCCAGACUCCAUCAACAUGUAAUGUUGUAAAACAAGAAAAUUGUUGAUUGUCAUUUCCUACUUCCAUUCAGUACUAAUUCAAAGUGCUACAUUUUCUGCACACAUGAAAACAUUACUAUAACUCAAAUGUUAUAAUGCGAUAUAAGAAGGCAAUUUCUUUAUGCAACAUUGACAUCAAUCAGUCCACAACAAAGAAAAUCAAUAAUUAACAGGUGUUGGGAACGAAGGGCGAAGAAUUUUGUAUAAUAGGUGAGCAAUUAUGAUUUGGGACGAGUUUAAUUAGUAAUGAGGGGUUUAUAAAUUAUACUUAUUAAUUAAUUAAAAUAAUUAGUGGUUGAGCGCUACGUAUUUAAAAAAAUAAUUAAAUAAUUUAAAUUAAUAUUAGUUAAAAAAAGUGGUCAAAUUUGGACCCAAAGAUGGAUGACAAGGAUAUUUUGGAGCCAAUAAGUGGAUGACAAGGGUAUUUUGGAGCCAAUAGAUGGAUGAGGGAUAGUUUUGUACCAUUUUUAAUACUUCGAGGAUAUUUUGGGCCAUUUUCCGUUUAUUAGAUGGGUGAUAUUUGAAUGAGCAAAAUGCGACAUGUUCCAAUUAGGGGUGUUCACGGGUUGGUUUGGAUCGGUUAUUGGUUAAAACCAAAACCAAACCAAAUUUAAUCGGUUUUUAAAUUAUCAAAACCAAACCAAACCAAAUAUAAUAUACAUUUUAUCGGUUUGGUAGUUAUCGGUUUCGGUUUGGUUUGGUUCGGUUAUUCGGUUAUUAAUCAUACACAAAAAUAAAAGAAACAAUUCAUUCAAAAUGUGAAAAAAAGUGACAGCAAUCCAUUCAAAACGAAAAAUAGUUAGAAUGACUUAAAUUAUUACUGAACUUUUGAUCACUAAAUUUACUAUCAAUAAAGCUUUAAAAUUCACUAUAUUAGUCUAGAAGGAAGAGACAAUAACAUUUUCAGUCCCACAAGAAUUGUCAUAGACACUCAUAUACAUGAAAUCAAUAAGAUAAAUGUUUCAUCUUACGCAUUUUUGUUUUCAAUAAGUAAAUUAUAAAGAAUUUUUUAUGAAAAUAUGUAUAAGAUCUUUAAAAUUGUUUAGAAAAAUAAUAUAUUAAGUAUGUAUAUUAAUAAAAUAUAUGUAUAUAAUUCAUCGGUUCGGUUCGAUUAUUUCUUCGGUUUGUUUUUAAAUAAAAUCAUAACCAAACCAAAUACUAUCGGUUUUCAAAAAUCUAAAACCAAACCAAACCAAACCCAAAUAAAAUCGGUUUUAUUUUAUCGAUUUGGUUUGAAUAAAACCAUAACCAAAUCAAAUACUAUUGGUUUUCAAAAAUCUAAAACCAAACCAAACCAAACCCAAAUAAAAUCGGUUUUAUUUUAUCGGUUUGGUUCGGUUUUUCGGUUUGAAUCGGUUUUUAUCCAAACCGUGAACACCCCUAGUUCCAAUAUAUAAAAGGGACAAUUUUAGCUAAAAACUCAACCAAACACACCCUUGUUUUCUGAAAGUUGUGGCAAGAACAGAAAUGGCCGAUUGAGAAGCAAUGGUUUCUGCUCUGUAGUGUGAGGAACAAAAAAUGAAUAAUCUUAGCAUUCUCUGUCGAUUGACUCGUUCAAUUCAGAGAAAUAUGCUCUGCUCAGUUGCUGGACUUGUCCACAAUACCCGUCAUGCCUUCUCCACUUUACGAGAGGAUCCAGAAUUAGACGAAAUGAUGGAGUUUUUGGACAGUCUCAAGAACUUCGAGAAGUCAGGGGUUCCCAAAGGCGCAGGAACAGAUUCCGAAGAUGGUUUUGAUUUAGGAAGAAUGAGACGAUUGAUGGGAUUAAUGGGUAAUCCCCAAUCUAGGUUUAAGGUCAGAUUUCCUUUCUCCAUUUUACUAUAUUUAGUUCAAUUUGUAGUUUCUUGCAUCACAUUGUAUUAACUUAUCUAGGAUUUUACUGGGAUUGAUUGAGUUGUAGUGUACUCCUUGGUUCUAAAGUGAAAAUUAUUGUAGACUGUUCAUAUUGCUGGAACAAAAGGAAAAGGAUCAACAGCUGCAUUCCUCUCAAGUAUACUGCGGGCAGAAGGAUAUUCUGUUGGUUGCUACACAAGGUAUUGUCAAAGAUGUUUUAUUAGUAACAGUUAACACUGUUAAGUACUUAUUUAUAGCUGGGCACUUUGUGUACAAUAGAUGUAGUUUGUAUGACUAGUUGAUUUGCUGCAUAUGAGCAGUCCACAUAUACAGACUAUCAGGGAGCGCAUAACCUUGGGAAAAUGGGGUGAGCCAGUAUCAGCCAAGGCAUUGAAUCAUCAUUUCAAUACAAGGAGGGAGGUUAUUGAAAGGGCAGUGAAACUUGAGAAUGGAUGUCUCAGUCAUUUUGAGGUUUUUUUCCCUUUCUUUUAGCUAGCAAUACAUAACUGAUUGAAAGAUGGUUUGUGAUUAGUCAUCACUCAUCAGUGAAAACUCCUUGAUGCUUUCCUCCCCUGGAAUUAGCUUUAACAGUCUCCAUUUCUGGCUUUGAUUUCUAUAGUUCCAAGAAUGUGCUUUCUCCAAAGGACUCUUUAGUUCUCAUUUUUGGUCUGCUUCUGUAUAUGGUCUUGUCUAAUUUUCUUCUUCUUUUCCUUAAAAUGUCAGGUUUUUACUGCUAUUGCGUUCAGCCUAUUUGCUGAAGAAAAUACUGAAAUUGCAGUUGUGGAGGUUAAACACACUAACUUGACUCUUUUCUCUACAAUAGCUAUACUUUUUUUCCCCACUUCCUUUGUUCCUUCCACCGUAGUUGGUGUUUAAAUAAUAAUCUUUAGACUAUAUUAGAUAGUUGGUCUUCCUUCUUCUUUUUCUUUUCCUUUUCCUCCAAGAUCAAAAUUUUCUUUCCACUUGUGCUUACAUUAACAUUUUAUAUUUCUCCUACCAUAUAGGCUGGAUUGGGUGGAGCACGAGAUGCCACUAAUGUUAUUUCGGGUCCUGAUCUUGCUAUAUCAAUCAUAACCACUGUUGGCGAGGAACAUCUGGAUGCACUUGGGGGCUCUUUGGAAAGUAUAGCGGUGGCAAAAUCAGGAAUAGUUAAAAAUGGGCGUCCAGUUAGGUGGUCUUUCCUUCACCUAUCCAUUGGAUAUAUUCAAAGAUGAAUAUUUCUUCUUGAAAUUGUGUUUGAUCUGAUGUUUUCUGUUUAGGGUUUUCUAGACAUAAGUGAUUUCACACAUUGGGCAAACAGCUCAUGCCCUACAUUGGUUGUAUUUAUUUUUUACUAGUCUGCUGGUUCUAACCUCAAACUUUGAUGAGAUAGUAAAGAUGAUUAACGUCUUAAUGUUCUCUGUGUAGUAUGUUAUGUUAAAAAUUAUUAUUAAUAAUUUUAUUUGCUGUUGGAUCAACUAUGCUUGACUUGCUUCAAAUGAUUCAAUAUUUCAGCUAGUUAUAGGAGGUCCACUCGUUCCAUCUAUUGAGUACAUUCUUCGUAGGAAAGCAUCUUCUAUGUCUUCACCAGUGGUAUCAGCAUCUGAUCCGGGAAAUAGAAGCGCUUUGAAAGGCUUCUGUGAAGUGACUGGCAUACCACGCCAAUUAUGUGACAUAGUGCUCCAGAUUGAGAAGGACUAUGAUCCGGUAUAAACUGAUCUUCAUUUGUGGUUCAUAAAUGACACAUUGGACUUUUUGAAACUUGUUCAAUUUCUAACAACAUAACAAGUUAUUAAUUGCUUUUUCAUAAAUAGUGCAGUCUAUUGAACUUCUAGGUGUGAAAUUACGCAUGCUUGGAGCUCACCAACUUCAGAAUGCUGUAACUGCUACAUGUGCAGCAUUAUGCCUUAAUAAGCAAGGUAAGGACUCAAAUUUUUCCUUUGUUCUUACUUCAAAAAUAGUUCUUGCAAGUUAAUAAAUCUUCGACUAUGAUGGGAAUUGAAAUCGUAUAACCUUGUUUUCUAGUCAUUAGAAACAUUAACGGAGUUGGUUAGGUGCUCAGUUAAUAUAUGCUAUGGAUUGGCUUUCUAAUGUCACUUCCUGAAACCUGUAUCUGUGUGCCUACUCACAAGGAAAAGUAGAUCAGCUUUGUUGUCAGUUUAGUUACGAUGUUUCUCUAACAGUACGGAUUAGCUGAUGCAUUAUGGGGAUUAUAUAGCCUUGUAUUAUUCAUUUUGAUAGGUAUUCAACCUUGUAUUCUGAUAUGCGCUACAGAUUUGACAUACUUUUAUGGGGUUCAGGACACUAAAACUGCAUAAAUCAUUGGGCUUACUGCUUGCUCUGUGAAAUGGAACCCUCAUCUCAAAGCUUUUCCCUUUUUAUGUUGUUGAUUUGAAAGAUUUAUCUUGGCAAAUCUCGUGUACUCUGUUACAUUAAUGGCAGUCAGGUCAAGCUCUACCUUUAAUCCCAUAACAUGCUAGAGUUAUUCAAGGGGCAUUUAGCUAACAACACAUGCUUGACCCCAUUAAUUUGGUAUUUCCUCUUUUCAGUUGUGGGUUAACCUCUAAUUGGGAUGAUUUCUCCUAAUUGACACUAGUAGUUUUGGAAAAGGAUAGACGUGGAGUUAAUCUUAAAGCUUCAUAAGACGCAGAUUGUAAUGUCUUCUAAUAAUGGAUACAAGUUAUUUUAACUACAAAGUUUACAUUGACAAUGUGAGGUACUUGAUUGAAUUAUUUUGAUACUUUGCUUGUAUAAUAUGAUUAACUAUCAACUUUCUUUCUUAACUUCAUUCUUGUAAUGGGUCUAAAUACAAGGAUGGAGUUUGUCCAGUGGAGCUAUUCGUACUGGUCUGGAGAGUGCAUUUUUGCAAGGCAGAACCCAAAUAUUGUCUUCAGAAGAAGCUAAUUUACUUGGAGUAUCUGGAGCAACUGUACUACUUGAUGGAGGUUGAAUCUUGUUGUUCUUAUUGUUAGUCAUGCACUUGUGCAUGCGUCUAUAUAUGUGUUACAUAGCCAUGGAUAAUACAGUGUUUUACAUCUGUUUUCAAGAGUUGUAAUUGUCAGUCUAUUUAGAAGUGGAUAGUAUGAUAACAAAUAAACAUUUUCAGCACAUACGAAGGAAUCUGCCAGGGCUUUGGAAAACACGUUGCAGAUGACAUUUCCGAAGGCAAAAAUGGUUCUUGUGGUUGCUAUGGCGAAUGACAAGGAUCAUCUAGGUUUUGCAAGAGAGUUAAUUUCAGGUUUGACCAAUUUUGGAUUUCUUUGUCACGUAUCCAUAUCCUUUUUUAGUUGACGAGUUCUUAGAUCAUUUACACAUUUAAUUUUUCAAUUAUUGCUUAGCUGUAGCCUGAAGAUUGUGGAAUAGUUUUGUUGUCAAUUUGACCCCCUUUGCGUGUUUGCUAGUGUUACUUUGCAACUAAAUACUUGUCCUAAAACUUUUACUCUUUGGAGGCUUAAUGAAAACUUGAAACUAUAGAGAAGUACACUAGAGAGCAAUGUCUUAGGACAAAUAGAAGUAAGACAUAAUACAUUGCACGUUUAAACCCUAUAAGAAGAAUGAAGGUGAAGUAUGAUUAGACAGAAUUGUGAUGCCUAAUAAAUACAAUAUGGACAUCUGGACUUCGUCUUUAAGUAGAAUGGCAUGAUAGAUGAAUGCAAAACAUAGAGUUUAAAAAUAAUGACUUAAACAGAGGAGUCUUACGAGAAUGAUAUGUGAUAAACAGAUACUUGAAACUAUUAUGAGACAACGAUGUUAUAUGGCUAUGAAUGGUUGGGUCUCCAAACCUAAUGUAUCCACAAGAUAUAUGUUUAUGGAAUGCAGAUGUUAAAAGUUAGAUUUGCCUUCAUUCAAGACGAGUCAAGACUGACGAAGAUUAGAAAUGGUAACAUCCGAUAGAGGGUUCAAAUGGAUCAUGUAGAGGAUUUUAAGAGUGGGUUGCCUGAGAUGGUUUUGUUAUGUCCCACAUAGACCUCAUAUGCACCAUCUUCCGGUGUGACGAUAUGAUAAUUGGAGGUGCUAAAAAGGGAUGGGGUAAGUUAAAAUUUGGAUGUAUGAAAUGAAUGAGUCCUGCGACGGCGAGAAUGUUUACAAUGAAUGUCGGGCCAUUAAACCUAAAUAUCCAUAAGAUGAAUGUCAUUAAAAUGUGGAUAUUAAAGAUGAAUGUGUGGUCAUAAAGAUUGAACAGUAGUAGAAAUGAUGAUGUAUGAUAAAGGGUUCAAGUGGCAGACACAAGAAUAUAUGAGAGAAGUUUGUCUGAGAUGAUUUUGUUUUGUCCUACAUAGACUUCAGUACAAUAGGUAACAACCACCCAUGCAAGACUACUCCAGUCUCCAGAUGAUUUUGUUAUGUGCUACGUAGACUUAUAACUCCAUAUUGAGACAUAGAGAGUACUAAAAGUAGCAAACUUUUCCAAAUAUGUAACGUUGUUCACUCUCUUCUGGCCAUUUACAUGUUUUUAGCUACUUAUACAAACAAGGUGAGUUCUAAAUGAAAUGUGAAUCAUCAGUUUUCUAACAUUAGAGUGUUUGUCUCUAACAUUAUACUUGCAUUUCACAUGUUUUUUGGUAUUUGAUUGUUGUAUUAUAAAUGACUCCACUAAGACAAUCAUUCUUUUGGCAGUUGGGGAUUUGGAUGCUGUAUUUUCUACAGAAGUUGACAUCGCUGGUGCUAAAUCAAGAAUGGCUUCAGCAUCUUUGUUGAAAUGUGCUUGGGUCAAUGCUUCGAGAGAGAUGAAUAUGAAGGUUCUUGACCUCAAAGUUGCAGAAAGUGAGGAUCAAUCACUUCAAGCUGCAGGGAUAGUGAAAUCUCAAAGUAUUUUACUUGCGGAGGGAUCAUUAUUGGCUUGUAUAAGGGCUGGUGUUAAGAUCCUUAAUGAAAGAGCUGGAGAACAACCUGGCAUUUUAGUAGUCACGGGUUCUUUGCAUAUUGUUUCCGCUGUUUUAGGCUACUUGCACAGCUGACUCCUAUUUGGUAAGAGAACUUCCAUUUUGGGUACUAUUCUGAAAACAUUUGAUAUAUAAUUACUUAUUAAAGGGGAAUGAAUUUAUCAACUAAUUGUCAAAUGUCAAAUGAGCUAGGGUCGAGACUAUAUGCAUUUUCUGUAUCAAUUCUACUCUAUUAAGGUCUUUUUAUUGUUGAAUUACUUGUAAAAAGAAUGAUCAUUUCUCCUUCUGUCAUGCACACGGAUAUCUUCUGGCCUUAUGAUUGCUAUAGCAUUGCUUGUUCUCUCUCUAUACACAAUACUAAAAGAUGUAUUUUGUUAGUGAAGAAUUUUCCAGUUUACAUGAUUGCUACUAUAAAAUGGCAUUAUCUUGAUAUAUUGUCAGCUAGUUCUAGAGACUAUUUAUGCUAUAAUAUGGCACUAUAUGUUUUAAGGUCUUGCCAGAGCCCUUUGAUGAGUUGAGUUCUAAAAUGAACUUAGGAGGUUCAGAGUCCUGAAAUUGUUCGUGCAAAAGUUGAAUAGCUGAACUGUGGAUGACUGGAUGAAUCCUUGGCUCUUACUUUGGUCCUAUGAAUGUACAAUUUUUUACGAUAAUGACACGUGGGUUUUGAAUAUGUAUCUCCUUGCAGCCCAGUUGUUGAAGCCAAUUUAACUCAUUACAUGGAUCUCUCUGGCUUCUGGAGCAGGAAGAAAAACGUACUUCUCUUCCCACACUCUUAUAAGGUAUUAGCAAACUUUAUGCAAUUGAGGAUCAGUGGAACAGGUUUGCUAUACUGUUUUGGGGGACAUGCAUUUACCUUGGGACAAAAUCGGAGCUAACAUGCAGAAGUCUAAAGCUAACGUCAAUUUAGCCCUACCUAAUUUUCAUAGCUAAUAAGCUCUCAGUUCAAAUUCAUCAGCUACAUUAGCAUGCAUUCCUAGCAACUAUUUACUACGGCCAUUCCUACUAGUAUCAAACAAAGUUUAUUUAGUGCCAACGCUGUAAGUUGAAGAAAAGUUUGUUGUGUAAAGCUUCCCAUAUGGGGUAGUCUUGCUUGGAUGGUUGUUACCUGUUGUACGUAAAAUGUUUGUUUUGAUGGUAACUUAAUCUUAUUGUAUUCAUUAUUAUGUGAUGACGAAAAGUUCAUUAUAAUUGAUUUGGUGUGAUCAGUGAUGGCUUUGUUAUUUAUUUAUUUUUAUCAUUUUGUCUUGUUUUUUAUUAUUUAAUAAUUUUAUUUUAUCGUUUAUUUUAGGGAUAAGGGUCUGAAAAAUACCUCAACUUUGAUCGAAUUUGCUGUUGUUAUACUAAACUUUAAUGAGGACCUAUUACCUCCUUAGACUAUUUAAUACCGUAUUUUAAAACAUAUAUAUUUGCCCACGUGGACAUAAAAAAUAAUGUAAAAUUAUAAAUAGUAAUGUGUCCACGUGUGCACAUAUAUACCUUUAAAAUACACUAUUAAAUAGUUCAGGGGGUAAAAAAUACGGUAUUAAAUAGUUUAGAGAGGUAAUUAGGUCCUCAUGAAAGUUUAGUAUCGCAACAGCAAAUCUGACCAAAGUUGAGAUAUUUUUCAGACACUUAUCCAUUUAUUCUAUGUUGUUUAUAUAUCUUUUACCUUGUAUGUUGUAUCCUACUUUUUUUUUGUAAUGUCCCUUAAUGUGUAACAUUAUCUAACAAUGAAAAAUGACAAAAUUUAUUCAAAUAUAUAAUAUUAAUCAAAAUAAUGCAGUACAAUAUGUAUGAUAAAAUAUGAUAUGACAUCUAGGUAACAACCAUUUAAACAAGGAGUCAAUUCCCUAAAUGGUCACCCAAGUUUAGGGAAUUGUCUUAAAAUAUCAUUUAUGUUUCAUUUAAGACCAAAAUAUCACUCAACUAUCCCUAUUUUCUUCCAAAUAUACUUGACAUUUCAAAAAUCUCACUCUCUCCUAAUUGGCAUGCCAUGUCAUUGAAGCUUUUUUUUUUUUUAAGAAUAGACUUAUUUAAUUCAUCAAAACUCAUUUAACUAAAAUAAUUAUUUUAUUAUUUUCUAAAAAGUAUAUAUUAGUUUAUUAAGAAGAAAUUUUUCAUGCUUAAGAAUCUUUUAUCAUAAUUAUUUUUUUAUUUUUUUAUGCUAUGAAGAAUAGUUUUUUAAAACUUACUAUAAUGUCAUCAAUUUUGAAUACUUAUAAACACAUAUAUUCAAAAAAAUAUUGAUAUAUAAAUUACUCAUGAAUGUCAACUUACAUCAAUUGAUCAUAUAUUAUAUAAUGGAUCAAUAAUAUUAAAGGUCAAUUAACUAAUAAAAAUAAUUAAUUGGGUACUUUGAAAUCCAUACUUACAAUAUCUUUUUUUUAAAAGAAAAUAGAAAAUGAAUAAUAUUUAUAUUAGAAAAUAAAAUUUUGAUCUUUAUUUAUCAGUAUAUUAAUCUCAUAUAAUAUGUAUAUUAUUGAAUUAAAAUANNNNNNNNNNNNNNNNNNNNNNNNNNNNNNNNNNNNNNNNNNNNNNNNNNNNNNNNNNNNNNNNNNNNNNNNNNNNNNNNNNNNNNNNNNNNNNNNNNNNNNNNNNNNNNNNNNNNNNNNNNNNNNNNNNNNNNNNNNNNNNNNNNNNNNNNNNNNNNNNNNNNNNNNNNNNNNNNNNNNNNNNNNNNNNNNNNNNNNNNNNNNNNNNNNNNNNNNNNNNNNNNNNNNNNNNNNNNNNNNNNNNNNNNNNNNNNNNNNNNNNNNNNNNNNNNNNNNNNNNNNNNNNNNNNNNNNNNNNNNNNNNNNNNNNNNNNNNNNNNNNNNNNNNNNNNNNNNNNNNNNNNNNNNNNNNNNNNNNNNNNNNNNNNNNNNNNNNNNNNNNNNNNNNNNNNNNNNNNNNNNNNNNNNNNNNNNNNNNNNNNNNNNNNNNNNNNNNNNNNNNNNNNNNNNNNNNNNNNNNNNNNNNNNNNNNNNNNNNNNNNNNNNNNNNNNNNNNNNNNNNNNNNNNNNNNNNNNNNNNNNNNNNNNNNNNNNNNNNNNNNNNNNNNNNNNNNNNNNNNNNNNNNNNNNNNNNNNNNNNCUAUUCUUCAUAACAUAAAAAAAUAAAAAGUUUAAUUAUAAUAAAAGAUUCUAAAGUAUGAAGUAUUCUUAAUAAACUAAUAUAUAUAUAUAUAUAUAUAUUUUAUUUUUUUAAAAUAAUAUGAUUAUUAUUUUAGUUAUAUUGUUUAAUGAAUCAAAUUAAUCUAUUAUUAAAAAAAAAAGACUUUAAUGACAUGUCAUGUCAACUAGGAGAGAGUGAGACUUUUAAAGUGUCAAGUAUAUUUGAAGGAAAAUAAGAAUAGUUGAGUGAUAUUUUAGUCCUAAAUGAAACAUAAAUGAUAUUUCAAGGCAAUUCCCAAAACUUGGUGACAAUUUAGGGAAUUGACUCUUUAAACAAGUUGUUAGGAAUUUCAGUACAAGUUAAUUUAUUGAACUAAUAAAUCUUUGUGUUUGAAAUAACAUGUAGUUAUAAAUAUUUAUUGGAAAAAUUACAAGAAUAUACUAUUUAAGAUCUUAAUUAACAAUAUAUGUAUAUACUUUUUUUAUUUACAAAACUAAGUUUUAAAUUACAAAUAUGACAGAAUAUUUAAUUUCAAUUUUUUUUAAAAAAAAAAAUUUAAUAUUCGAUUUAUUUCCUUUUUUGGGGGUUAUGUGCUAAAUUUAUGGGAUUGAUAAUUAUUGUUUACUUUUUGAUUUUCCAAUCAUAAUUUUACUUUUUAUAUUGUUUUAUUUCCCAUAUCUUGAAUUUCCGUUUUUUUUUUUUGUAUAUUUUAGUAUACGAUUAAUUGCCUAUAUUUGAGGAUAAUGUGCUAAAUUUAUGGUAUUGAUAAUUAUUGUUUACUUUUUGGUAGAGCUGUCAAUAUGGGCUGGCCCACUCCAUCCGAGCUAGCCCAUACAUGCUUUGAAAUUUGACGGGUCAGGCCGGGCUAGCCCAUUUUUUGUGUGGGCUAGAAAAUGAUCGGCCCAGCCCACAAGUACGUGGGCUACGGGAUUGUCGGGCCAGCCCUCUUUACGUAAAAAUACAUUUUUUAUAAUUUUUUAAAUUAAAUUAUAAUUUAAAAAUAUUAUCAUAAAUAUCGACAAGAUAAUAUUACAUGGUGUUAGUGUUUCUACUUGUUAAUAAAAUUAUCAUUAUAAUAUUUAUUAAGUUUGAUUUCAAGUAAAAGCAUAAAAUUACCUAAAAUAAAAAAUAUAAACCAAAUUGUUUUCCAAUGAUCAUAAUAAAACACAAAAAACUAUGACAAUAUUCCAUAGGCUACGGCCUAUAUAGUGAUUCCUAAAAAAUUUAGGGAAUUUUUAUUUUACGUAAUACGUAUUUUAUAAACAUAAUUUGUAUUUAAAUUGUAAUAUUUCAAACUUUAAACUGAUUUUGAGUUUAGACUCUUGUUAUUUUUAAUGCUCUAUUUUAUUUUUAUUUUUUAAUUAAUUUUUAUUUGGCCCACGGGCCGGCCCUAUCCAUAUUUCUCAAGCCCUACAAAUCGGCAGGCUUAUUCAGGCCGGGCUAAAAAGCCAUUUUCUUAAAUGGGCUCCAAAAUCGUAGCCCAACCCUAUCAAAUCUUGAGUUAGGCCAGACCGGCCCAACGGGCCUAUCCCAUAUUGACGACUCUACUUUUUGGCUUUCCAAUCACAAUUAUACUGUUUUAUAUUGUUUUUUUACCCAUAUAUUGAAUUUUGAUUUUUUUUGUUUAUUUUGGUAUCGAUUUAUUUCCUAUUUUGGGGGUUAUGUGCUAAAUUUAUGGAAUUGAUAAUUAUUGUUUUGACUUUCCAACCAUAAUUAUACUCUUUAUUAAUUGUAGUCUUCUCUCACCUCUUUAAAAUUGUUUUUAUACAAAUAUCUUUUUCUUGUAUUGUGACAAAAAAAAAUUCUAAAAUUCUUAAAUUUAUCUACCUUAUUUUUUUUGAAAAAAUAUUUAUUGACUUAAAUAACCAUUUAAAUCUAGAAAGUUUCAUAAAGUAAUUAAAAACUUGCAUAUUAUAUAGAUUUUCAUACAACUUUGGUGUUAAGUCGUAUAUAAUAUGUUAAUAUUAUAUUACACCUCAAUAUAUACCAUAUAAUAUAUCAAAAUUGUAUAAAAGGAAUAUAUGAACCAUAUAAUUUAUCAAUAUUGUAUCAUCUGAAACACCAAGUUAUACCAAUAUUUAAUCAUCUAAAAUCUCAAAAUUAUAUUAGCAUUGUAUCAUCUAAAAUACUAAAAUUAUAUCAAUAUUGUAUUAUGUGAAAUACAAAUAUUAUAGCAACAUCUCCACUAUUUAACAAAUUGAACUUGUUGAUAUUUUUGUCAUUAUUUUUUUCUCAAAUUGCCAAUUUAUAACAAAACGAAAAAUAUUAAUAUUAUCUUUUAAAAUUAACACUAAUACAAACCUGAGAACUUGAAAUUAUACUAGAACUAUCUAACACCAUUUAUGAAUAACAUCAAAAAUUUCUAAUAUCAAAAUUGUACCAUAUAAUAAUACUAACAUUGUACCAUAUAAUAUACCAACAAUUAUUUAAUUAUACCCCAUAUAAUAUACCAAUUUAAUUGAUAUUCGUGUCAUUUUAUUUUUUUCAAAUGAUAUUUUAUACCACAAGGGAAACCAACAUAAAUAAUAUAACUAAUUACGUCAUAUGGUUAAAUAUGAUUCUGAAAAAAAUGUUUAAUAAACAACGAAUAAAAUUCAAAUCCGCUAAUAUCAUUCAAUUAGAUUCUUAACUCAACAAUGUUAAUCCUCAUAUAAAUAUUCAGUACAAGUUCUCUUGUUGUGAUCCUCAAUAGGCGAUAACACAUUUUCUACAAUUUACUUUAGAUCUCUUGCUUUUUUUCUUUCAAUUGGUAUUUGCGGCACAUAUCACUUCUUCGAUCUUAAAAUUCACAUACCUUCCUGCAAUACAUUUCAAAAAUAAUAAUUAAAGAACCUACUAAACAACAGUUACAAUAAUCAAAUUUGAAAUACACAAUCAUAUUUUUUUUAUAUCACCAAAAAAAUUAUUACAAAAUGGUGUAUAAUGUGAUUAAAAACUUUAUUGUUUAUGCACACUAUCAGUUACACCUAUAAAUGUACCAAAUCACUUACCACAAAUCUAUUCAUCAAAUCACUUACAAAAUCUCUUACCAUGAAUGGUAACUAUCACUAACCAAAUCACUUAUCAAAUCACAUACCAAAACAUAAUUUACACUAUCGACUACACCAAAGUAGGCAACUCAAUAAUUCUUUAAACAUGCUAUAUAUGCCAAAUUAGGAAAAUUAAUACACCAAUAAUGUACCAAAUAUUUUACCAAAAAUAUUUGAUAGUCAAUUUUGAAGUUGGUGUUUACACAUGGUUUAAAAAUUAAUAAUUACACCAAAUCGCAUAUUAUAAGAAUUUGAGAAUUAAUGGUAAAAUUCAUUUUCACACCAAUCAGACAAACAAAUACACCAACACAUAUACCAAAAUAUUAAUUUGAAGUUGGUCUUUGUAUAAGGUCUUAAAAAAUACCAAUAACAAAAUAUCACACACCAAGACAAAUUGUUGAUGUAUGUUGUUAAUUGAGGCAUGCAACAUACCAAUUAAACCAUAUCACAUAUAAUAAAAAAAAUCGAAUUCGGUGUUUAUAUAUGGACAACAACUUACGUUGAUGCAGUAAUCAAUCAAACAUAAUGUUAUACCAAAAAAUAUUCAAUGAAACGGUUGUUAAAUAACAACCAAAGCUUCUUUUCUAUACCACCAAAAAUAUCACUUGCAAAAAAAAAAACGAUGUUCAUUAUCAGCUAAACCUAAUAAUAUAUCAAAAACCUAGUAUUAUACAAAAAAUGACUACUAAUAUUUAAUGUUUAUUCAACAACAAAAUCUAUCCAAUCGAUGCACCAGAUUAUUAACGAAACAUAUAUAUUUUGUAUUACACCACAAUAACGUACUUUAAAAACCAAUGAUUAAUUAUCAAAAAAAUUAAACACAGAUGGUGAUGAAAAAUAAAAUAUAUUAACCACGUAAAAAAACACCAAAUCAAUCCUUUUUUAUUCAAAUACCUGAUGAGUCUCAUCGCCCGUUGUGUUGUAUUAGAAUUGAAAAAUUAUUGGUAUCCAUUUUGAAUAGUUGAUCAAAGUUGACAAGGAGUUUAUUUUUGUUAGAAACCUCCCUUCAUGGGAGAGAAUAUAUAACAAAACUGAGUAAAUCAGGUAAGGUAAAAUAAUUGGAGAAAAUUAAGGGAUAUGGAAUAAGCAUGGCUGACUAUUUUGUACAUUUAAAAAAAAUAUAAAUUCUAGUUUUGUAAAAACACUAUUGUUAUAUAAUUGAAAAAAAGUAUUGUUAUAUAGUAGUAAUUAAGGUACUUAAGUUGUAUACUUAAGUUUUUUACCCAUAUUUAUUUAUGAAACAUGAAGAUACGUGAUAUAUUAAUUUGACGUCAUAAUGUAUUUUAAUACCUUGUAUAAGAAAUAUGAUUUAAAAAAAUAAAAUUACAUAAGAAUCGUUAAAGUUUUAAUAAUUUCCACAAAUUAUGGAGUUGUUAUAUUUAUAAGAAAAUACAAUUUUAAAAAUUCAAAUUACAUAUUCAAACAAAAUCUUAAAUUCAAAUCAAUCUCAUUCAAAAUUACUCAUGUCGGUGCUAAGCACUCCCUCUAGUCCAACUUAAGUAAAUUGUUUGAAUUUUUUUCAUAGUCCAAAAUAAAUAAAUUAUUCUAAAUUCAAGAUAAUUAUUGAUACAUUUUAGGAAAAUAGAUUGAAAAUAAUGAGAGGAUGUGGAUACGAACAAUUUACUUAAUAUGGAUCUAGAUUAAUUUUUCGAAAGAAAAGUAGUGGCAUUUUAUGAUAACACAUAUAACUACAUAUGUUGCUCCAGGUAUAUAUGUGUGUGUUUUCCAGCCUCGCCCCUUGGCUUUGUUUCUACCUCAUCCGGUAUGUUUUGAUUCCUUAAUUCCAGCGUUUACAAGAUCUAUUGAACUUUGGUUACACCGCCCCGUUGUCCUUUCGUCUCCGUGAUACCUGAACAAAAUCCUCUGCUGUUCUCGUCUACCCCUUUGGUACGUCUAACUGAAAUAUCCCUCAUUUUUUUGUUCCUUUGCCCUAUAUUCAUAUUCUUUAUCUGUUUCUGAACGACAGUGCUUUCGAUUUAUAACUAUUUUUGCCCCUGCAACGAUAAUUCCUGACCCCUUUUUUUCUUUUUCUUUUCUUUGUUCUAUCUGUUGGCUGGGUUUUGGUUUGAGGGGUUGUACGCCUAUUUAGUUUUUACCGCUCUAAGACAUUUACGUGCAUCGACCAGCCCAACUUUGUGGACAGUUGAUGAUAAAGUUUGUGUCUUUUUGCCGACUGUGUUAUUUUUGUAUUGGUGAAAUGCUGCUUAAUCUGUAUUGCUUUUUCUGUUUGCAAGUUUUGUGAUUCAAUCUAAAUUUAUUCUUUUCUCAUCGCGGUAUUUGUUUACUACUUUCUUGGGUGUGGAGGGUGGGGAGGAACUGCCAAGUAUGGUGUUAUGAUUAUAACAUUGAAUGAUUACUUUCUUACUCUAGGAAGAGGAUAAGAAGUGUAUGUUUUGUUCCUUGGUUCUUUUUAGCUGUUUUCCCUCUGUAUACAGUUAGAAAAGAACACAAGGGAUUAGUAAUUUCUGGUGGCAUGAGAAAAACUGAAGAAGGACAAGAUAGUAUAUGGAAGUAGUUGAACUUACUCUAAAUUUAGUUUGUUCGCUGUAGAAUCAUAGUGAGUUCAUAAACAUGCUUUAUCUUUUGAUUGAUGUACUUAUACCUUUUAGCUUGGUAGUGUUUUUGAGUGAUGAGGUGUGAAAUUGCAUAUUGUAAAUAUCUUGUUUAUGUGCGAAUAUGGUCUUACUUUUGAAGGAGCGUUACUUGCUGGGCUUUAUCUGUGUUGAUUUUGUUGGAGCUUGGAUUUGUGUUUUGGAAUGUCAUCUGUAUCUAGCCAGCCUCAAUUCAGAUACACGCAGCCUCCCUCUAAGGUUCUUCAUUUAAGAAACUUGCCAUGGGAGUGCACAGAAGAGGAACUGAUUGAAUUGGGAAAGCCAUUUGGUAAAGUUGUCAAUACCAAGUGUAAUGUUGGAGCAAAUAGAAAUCAAGCAUUUAUAGAGUUUGUAAGUGUAACUUCCUUCAUUUUCAAAUCUCUGUUUGUUUCUAGUGAAACUACACUUAUUCUUGAUGUUCUUAUCCUCUAUUAUUAAUUAUCGUAGGCAGAAUUGAAUCAAGCUAUUGCAAUGAUAUCAUACUAUGCGUCUUCCUCAGAACCGGCUCAGGUACGAGGGAAAACCGUCUACCUACAGUAUUCUAACAGGCAAGAGAUAGUGAACAACAAAACUACUGCUGAUGUAGCUGGAAAUGUAUUAUUGGUAACUAUUGAGGGAAAUGACGCACGCCUUGUCAGUAUUGAUGUCUUACACUUGGUAAGUAAUUAUACUUCCCCACAUAUUCAUUUGGUGGAGGGCCCACGCCGCCCGCCUCGUAGAAAGGCUUCUGUGUAGUUUUAGUAUUAGGUUAUAGUAUGUCUUGCUUUGUUGAGUGCUCUUUGACAUGAAUAUGAAUGGAUCAGCAGGCCAAUGUCAAGGAUAUAUCUGCAAUGGCAGCUUAUUGCAUCGGGAGAAAGAGCGCAUGUGUGUUUGUUUCCUUUCUCCUUUGCUUAACACUGUGGCUCUUUCUCACCCCUUUUUCUUAAUUUAAUGUCUUGACUUCCCUUGAAGUGUCAGAUGUUUCAUUUUUUUUUUUGAAAAUUGACAUCCUCUCAUUGGAAUGUGCAUAAUGGAUGCUCCUCGUCUUAUUGUCCGAGGCAAAAUUGUUAUUUGUGCAUAUGACAUUUGUUAGUGGAUGCAGCAUUUCAGUCUUCUGUUGUAGUGUCAUUUUCUCUCUUAUUUUAAAACAACUCAACUUUUAUUGUGGAGCAACACUUUCGAAGAGAACCUCAAUGCUCUGUCCUUGGUCAAUUAGUUGCAUAAACCCUCUUUCUCUGUUACUUGUUCGUGUUGAUGUUUUCCUAAUAUUAUAAUUAAUAGCUUAUUAGGUACUUUAAAUGUGUCUCGUCCCUUACUGUUGCUGAAGGCCCCACUAAUGAUGAUCGUCAGUUGACUAGGUUGCAUUUAUUCUCACUAAGUCAAACCAUAGGCUUUCUUAACUGGAUACUAUAUCCGGUACCUGUGUUGGUUGGAGGUAGUAGGUACCAUGUGGAAUUAGUUGAGGUGGGUGCAACCUGCCCGGACACUGCGGUAACAAAGAAAAGAUACUAAAUCAACUUUGUUGCUAGUGAAAUAUUGAUGAAUGUUCUGUAUAUUUGAAUGGCUGAUGUAAAUAUGUUUAUUUGAUCAUACAAUACUGCGGUGUUCUGGUAGCUUUAGGUUGCAUCAGAUGGAGUAAAUGAGAGGAGCGAUAUUCUUUUCUAGCCUUUUCAAACAAUAGUUUUUGUAUUUAAGAUUUUCUUUAGGUCAACUGAUAGGCCUCAUCCCUGGAAAGGAGAUUCUUCGCUGUAUAUUUGUAAGAGAGAAGAUAAUAUAUAUGAUAAUCAUUCAAGCGGAGGCAAAAAGUACUAGGGAAUUUCUUCCCAUCUGCCUAAGUCUUGGUGGACCGAGUUACCCGAUACUUGUGUUGGUGGGAGGUAGCAGGUACCUGAUGGAAUAGUGGAGAUGCGCGCAAGUUGAUCCAAACACCCUUAUAUAUAUAUAUAUAUAUAGACAACAACAACAUGCCCAGUGUAAUCCCACAAGUGGAGUUUGGGGAGGGUUGGUUGUGCGCAAACCUUACCCCUACCUUUUGGGUAUAUAUAUAUAGUCGAUAAUCAUUUGAAACUAUGGUUUUCCUCUUAUCUUGAAGACUUGAACUUCUUUAUUCAAGAAAACAACGAUUGAAAUUGCAUCAUAACAUUUAAGAUGUUUUCAGAUUUGUAUCUUGAUUUUACCUUCAAUUGUUUUCUUCUACUUAUAAUCCAAUUUUUUCAGGUGUUCUCAGCUUUUGGAUUUGUCCACAAGAUUACGACAUUUGAGAAAACUGCUGGAUUCCAGGUCAGUAUGUUACUGAAGUUGGAUUUGGUUUUGUUAUGUUACUGACCAUUGAUUCAGCUGAUAAGUCCCCACCACUCUCCCUUGGAACCUUUUCAGGCUCUAGUGCAAUUUUCUGAUGCAGAAACUGCCACUUCUGCAAAGGAUGCCCUUGAUGGAAGAAGCAUUCCCAGGUGAUUGUGGAUUUAUAUUUCAGAUUGGGGAGUAGCCCAACUGUUAUGGAUCAUUUACUGUAGAUGUGGUGCAUGUUUUAUUUAAAAAUAUAUCUUCAAGGGAAAAUGACNNNNNNNNNNNNNNNNNNNNNNNNNNNNNNNNNNNNNNNNNNNNNNNNNNNNNNNNNNNNNNNNNNNNNNNNNNNNNNNNNNNNNNNNNNNNNNNNNNNNAAUUCCUAUCGUGGACGGUCAAAAUUGGGUGUCAACAGUGCACAUACAUUGGGGCUCGACAUCUUUGAAGAACUUUUUUAAGAAUCUACCAAAGGGGUACACGCAUGUUCCUUGACCAUUCCAUAUCUCAUUAUAUAUUCACAUUUAAUGCUCCUUAGGUUUGUUGUAGUUCUAGCAAUGUGGCCUGUUUACUGCUAAAAUGUGCAGUUUAAAUGUUGCUACUGAACUUAUUUACAAGUUACAACCGGUGAUCUUGCAACUUCUAGUUUAAGGAAUAUUUGCUGAUCCCAGCUUAAAGGUGCUUGUUCAGAAAAGACUUUUUCUUAGACUUGCUAUUAGAUAGCUAUUCCGAUGCGCAUAUGCCCAAACACUUUUUUUUUUUGUGACGAGGGUAACUUUAUAUUCACACCAAAAAAUUCAUUAUCCAAAAAAUGAUGAAUUGGAAACUUACAUCCCACAAAGAUGUGUUGUAAAGCUAAAAAAAAUACUGCUAUGUCUUUAUACCCAUCAUCAGUUGUUCAAUUUAGUCCUACUUAGUGUGUGACAGAGUAGCCAUUGACCUAUAUUGUCAUUCUCUUCUGUGUUAGGUAUUUGAUUCCAGAACUGGGACCUUGCUCCCUCAAAAUAACAUAUUCUGCACAUACUGAUCUGAGUGUGAAGUUUCAGAGUCAUCGUAGCAGGUAGAAAUGAUCUCUCUCUCUCUCUCUCACACACACACACACAGAACAUCCUCCCCUCUUCCCCCCUCUUUCUGCUAAACAGACAUUCAUGAUGAUGGCUUGUUCCACUAUUGGAAAACUGGUUGUACAUUUGCAUCUUUAUAUCCUUCAUCACUCAUACUCAUUUUAUUUCCUAUUCUUUUAGGGUCUAAUGACUACUUUUCUCAUCUCUUUAAUCAUCAUUUUACAUAUGGUUUUGAUUUAGGGACUACACCAAUCCUCUCCUUCCUGUUGCUCCCUCAGCCAUUGACGCAAAUGGUCAGGUAAUCAAUUAGACACAACUCUUUGCCUGUGGUCAUUAGUUUCAUGGAACUAUGGAAGGAUGUGUUAGGAUUCUGUUUUCUGUCUUCCAAUUUCCUUGUUUGUAUAUUCUUGAUUUUUUUUCUUUUUGACUAGUCAAAAAGCUUCAUUAAGUAAGAAGGAAUCAGUUAUAAGCAUGUGACUCAACCAUCUUCAUCUAUCAACUUCACCUAUCUCUGUCUAUCAAGCAAGAUAUACUCUCUACACAAAAAAUACAAGUGUUACAAAAGAGAUAAUGCAUUGCAUAUCGUAUUUUGCAUUUUGGGGGCUACAUUAUGAUAAUGCAUCUUCAUGGAUAUUAUGAUUUAACUGGUAGAGUAUAGCAGUUUGUAUGCUGAUCUUUUGUAUGAUUGGUACACUUUAAUGUUUCUGUGCUUAGGGUACAUUUGUAGUUGAUUGGCUGAUAUUGUGAUGAAAUGCUGGUUUCUUUCCUUUCUUUGAAAUUUAUUUCAUUCAUGUUUCAGAUCAGUGUGGGUUUAGAUGGGAAGAAGCUGGAGCCUGAGAGUAAUGUUCUUCUAGCUUCCAUUGAGAACAUGCAAUAUGCUGUAACCUUGGAUGUCCUACACACGGUACCCCGCUUCAGUUGCAAGAUAAAUUUCUGUACAUUCUGUUGUGACCUUAAUCCCGAGUUAUUCAUUGCUUUAUCUGUUUUAAUGCAUGGGGUUCAGGUUUUUUCAGCUUUCGGCCCUGUGCUAAAGAUUGCAAUGUUUGAUAAGAAUGGUGGGGUUCAGGCUCUGAUACAAUAUCCAGGUGAGAUGAAAAUUUCCUUCUUUUUUUCAGAAGUGUGUUUUUCCGCUAAAAAGUCAUUAGUUGCUUGUUUUGUUGUUGGUUCAAAAGUAUUUCUAGCAAAGAGGCCAAGGAUGGUUCUCAGCUUUAUUUCAUAUAGAAUUCAGCAAUGAAGUUUUGUCCUUUGUUUUAGGUAUAGAUAUAUUGACUGAAGAAGCUUUAGUGAUUAUUGUACUUGUAUCUGACCUUAACUGUGGAUUGUUACCUUCCUAACAAUUAGUCCCCCUUGUACUGGUUUUGCAUUACUGGAACUGAUCCAGUUACUCAGUAUUAGGAGUGCUUGUAUGUUAAGCAAUAAAUGUGAUGUGUUUGCAGAUGUGCAGACAGCAGUUGUUGCAAAGGAAGCUUUAGAAGGACAUUCCAUAUAUGAAGGAGGAUUUUGUAAGCUUCAUAUCUCCUACUCUCGCCACACUGAUCUCAGUAUAAAGGUAAAAAGGGUCAUAAAGAGAUUUAUUUGCUAGAGAUCGUAGGAGUAGCUUAUAGGAGCCACUGCAGAGUUUAGCGUCAUCCAUCUCUUCACUUGAUGUUUUUCCCCUAUUUGGAAAGAGUAGUCCACUAAAUUGCAUGCUUUCUGGUCUAAUAUCAGGUGAAUAAUGAUCGCAGCAGAGAUUAUACAAUCCCGAAUGUCCCUAUGAUGAAUGCCCAACCCCCUAUGAUGAACUCUCAACCCUCAGUCAUGGGGCAGCAACCACCUUCUGUAGGAGAUCCUGGUGUUCAUCCAUACAAUGGGCCUACACAAUAUGCCCCAGCCCCUCAAGGUUUUGGUGCACCUCAGCAUUCAGCAUCAGGCUGGAACUCACCUGUUGGUUCUGCACCUCCACAAAUGCAGAUGCAGAUGCAGAUGCACAAUCACCAUUACUCUAUGCCAGCAAGUGGACCUCCUCAAAUGGGUCAUGGGAUGAUGCCAAUGCAUGGACAGAACGGCCUACCACAUUCCGGUGGAAUGCCUCCUUAUCAUCCACAAUAGCACUAGUGAGAACCCCAAAUUUCUAGACCAAGAUUACAUUUUGUUGCAGCAAGAUCUAAGCCAAGAUGUUUAUACUAAUAUUUUGGUCCAGACUGCAUAUCUUAGUUCUUCGUUUUCUGUCUCAUUUCUUAUUCCCUUCUCUUUGGGUGUCUUCAUUGACCUAUAGGACCAAUCAUACUUCAUUGCUUCUUGAUUGGUGCCAUAUAUGAAUUAUAUUAUAUAGUCAUAGCGUUUUAUAGUGGCGUGCUUUGAGAUAUACAUACUGCAGGCUUGACUGAUUGAAAGAACUGCUACGUUUAAUUUUCUGCUGGUGAUUUUAUUGAUCUGUUAAAUAUUUUCCCUAUUUUCUGCUACAUAUGUAAGUAUAUUAUAUGUUCCCAGACACAACUGCUCAUGUGGAAGUUGCAACAAAAAAAAUAGGGAAAAUAUUUAACAGAUCAAUAAAAUCUUAAUUUUUUUUAAAAUAAACUAUUUUGUUGUUGUAGCCAGCUUGAUGUUUAAUUUUUUUUCUUAUGUAUGUACCGAUUCUCUGAUACUUCUGUUUAUGGUUUUGUGUUGUCUAAUUAGAUAAUUAUAUUUGGCAUUAAUUAACAACUGUCCCUAAAGAAAGGGUCAUCUUGAGGAAAAUUGUGUCUUUAAUCACAACUAAUUAGAUUCAUCCUCAAAGUCCUAGUUAGUUGACAAAAUAAAUGGAGAAUAGUGCAUAAAACUAUAUAUUGUCAAACUCAGGAAUCAUGAGGAUGAGGUGCAUCAGACAUGUUGUGCACAAUAAAAUAGCUUACCAAACUAACUACCUUGACUAUGCACAAAUAGGAUCAAUACACAAUUUAACUCAACCAAUGUCUUUACAACCACUACAUUUAAUAAUAAACACCCACACACGUCGGUGACGUUCUGGUUUGGCUCACGGGGGGGUAAAUCAAACUUACUGUGGAAGUCAAACAGCAAAUCAGUCAGGUCAAACGCUUUGAUUUUGUUAACUUGUGCAAAUUGCCUUUGCUUAUUGAAAGGCAAUUCUAUUCGUUAAAAUGAAACCCACUGCUCAUUUCUCAAAUCUUAAGUGCCGUCUUUAACACCUUGUUUGGAGAGUUGUUAUCUGUUGUAUUAUAUUUGUAUUGCUAGUUUAAAUAUAAUAUUUGUUUUAAUUGUCACUUAAUUUUACUACUCUCUCUGUCUCAAUUUAUGUGACUUACUUUUCUUUUUAGUCCGUCUCAAAAAGAAUGACACAUUUCAAUAUUAAAUAACAAUUUAACUAUAAAAUAUCUAUUUUAUCCUUAAUGAAAUGAUUUACUAUCACACAAAUUUCUAUUAUUUAUUUUUUUCUUAAAUUUCGUACUGAAUCAAAACGGAGGGUGUAUAUUGUAUCAUUUAAAUUCAUCAGGUGAUACUGAUUUAGUGUGAUCUUUAUGUCAUACUGAUGAAGAAUGACACAAUUUAUCAUUUCAAAUUUGGAGUUGAAUAGAAAGUAAGAGAGAGAAGAAAUUAGGAAGAAUCGAAGCAAGCGCCGCCGUGCUGUAUGAUUUUGUGAGACAGCUGACAGUCACCGGCCGGUUUGAAAAGGCACCAAACAGUGGGUCCAGGUAAAGCUAAUAAGUAGGACCCACAAAGACUCUGUUGUGGAUCUUCCACUUCCCACAAAGGAAAUCUGGGUGGCACAAGUAAUAAAUGAUCAAAUCACAAGUUGAAAAAACCUCCAAAAAUCAUCUUCUUCUCUAAACUUAGUAGAUUCAUAAUACCACUUUUUUUUCCUUUCAUGAGUUCCAACUCUCUUCACUCUCAAUACACAUAUAUAUUGUUUUUUUGUCAGGUGAACUGAUUAUUAGCAUUCCAUUAAGCGAUUUUUCUGCUUUUGGAUUGCUGUGCAACAAAAUUAGUGAUCUAAAGUCAAAUCUGCCCGACUUUGAGUUUUUUCGAAGUAUAGGCGGGCAAAGUCCGGAGGUUACGUAAGUUGAUAUUUGAACUUUCUAAAUUUAACAUAUACAAAAUGUUUAUAUAGUCGACUCUAAUUGAUUUCGGAUUGUGGCAUAGUUCCAACAUUAUAUUGGUUAGUCUAACAAUGCAUCAGUUCGAAUAAAUUCUCAUUUUCAUAUUUAUCUUCCUGCAAAAAAUUUAUGAUUGCAACUAUUGUUUGAUGUUACAACUUUGAGAAUUCAAUAAUUAGCAAGUGCUUCAUGUUUGAUCUUUUUAGAAUUUUGUAGCUGAUUAAGGUGUUGCAUCGUUUACCUUCUUCUUCUUUUUUGUCGUUGAGGUAAGUACCCUGAUGUGGAAAUUUGCUGGUUGCCAAAUUUUUGUCUCUGUCUCCAAUACACUUUGUUGAUUAUUCUAGAGCAUUCAAUGCCUUUGACCUCAAAUUCAUUUUUAGGUUCCAACUAUUUUUUCUAUAUAUAAGUCAUGUUUGUCGGUAUAUUUUAAAGGGAAAAAGGACAAAUAUACCCUUGAAUUAUCGUAAAUGGUAUGCAGAUACCCUUCGUCAUACUUUUGGGACAUUGGUGCCCCUGCCGUCCAAAAACUAGAGCAUAUAUGCCCUUUAUAAUAACGGACAUACACGUGUCAUAAUCUUAUCCGUCGAUUAAAUAUUGGAUCGACGGAUAAGAUUGUGCCACGUGUCCCUAUUUAAUCUUCCGUUAGAGUGAAGGGCAUAUAUGCUCUAGUUUUUAGACGGCAGGGGUAUCAAUGUCCCAAUAGUAUGACGGAGGGUAUUUGCAUACCAUUUAUGAUAGUUCGGGGGUAUAUUUGUCAUUUUUCCCUAUUUUUAAUUACUUAUCGACUCCUUUCAUGAAAAGAACAAGUUGGUCUGUUAUACUCUUGUGACAAGGUUUUACACAUUUUAAGCAUCUUUGACUUUGUUGAAAAUAUUCAACUCCUGUCUGUUAAGCUGUCUUAAAAGGAAAUUUUUUGCGGCUGUUUGUUUGGUGUAACUGUAGUUAUACUUGGAGAGAAUCAAGAUAUCGAAUACUUAUCUGAUAAGCUAUACUAAAAUUUCAGGGAAUGGUAUUAGCUCUUGGCUGAGCUACUCAAGACAGUUUUCACCGAAAAACUUGUUGCCUAGAAUGAUUUUGGAAGUUGAUCUUCUGUAUUGAGCACAUUGAUGCAUUGGCUCAAGAUAUGGAUCACCGACAAGAGGAGUUCUCGAGGUUAGUUUUGAGAACCUUAGGAAGCCCCAGUUUUUUAGUUUCUCAAUCCAGGUUACACCUUUAAGUGGUUUCUGUUUGAAUGUAUGGUAUGGGAAUAGAGGAGUAAAUGAAACAAACUAAGAGAUUAAAGAGAAUCAUGAGUGGAAAGUAAACUAAUUCUGGACCUGGGAAAGAAUUGAAAGCCUGGAUUGCCUUUUCUAUUUGAAAUUGGAAGAGAAGAGAAAAUUAAAAGGAAAGUUCAAGCACAUUCAUGUUUGGUUACUUUAUGGGUAACUUUGAUAUUUAUGAAAAUGAUUAACCAAGUAAAUCUGAAUAUGGACUAAUCAGUUUUUUCGAGCAUAGGCUUAGAUGUUGUAUAACUGUGUGCACUAAUUUGCUGACAUGCUGCCAACUUGUUUUUCUAAUACUUAAAUUGGCUGCCUUGCAGAUUUCAGGGCUGGAAAUCAGAGAAAAACUCUGAAGGAAAUUUUCAUGCUAUGGGUGGAGUGCACCGAAGUAAAGUUGUAAUAGCUUCCAACGAAUUAAAUAAAGGCUUGGAACCUGGUAAAUGGAGGGCCAAAAGCAUAAUUCAAGCCGUAAAAUCCAGUUUAAGUGGUUUUGUGGAAGAAAGCUUGGGAUCCAACAAGAACAUACUUGAUCCUCAAGGACCUUUUCUUCAAAAGUGGAACAAAAUAUUUGUAUUAUCGUGUGUAAUAGCAAUCUCCUUGGAUCCUUUGUUCCUUUACAUUCCAUUGAUUGAUAAUGACAACAAAUGUCUGGGGUUAGACAGAACAUUAGAGGUUACAGCCAGUGUUUUGCGUUCUUUUACUGAUAUAUUUUACUUUCUUCAUAUUGCCCUUCAAUUUCGAACUGGUUUCAUUGCUCCUUCUUCACGUGUAUUUGGAAGAGGUGUUUUAGUUGAAGAUGCUUGGGAGAUAGCAAAGAGAUACUUGUCCACGUACUUCUUGAUUGAUAUUCUUGCAGUUCUACCACUACCACAGGUGCAACUUACUUCCCUCAAAAUGUUUCUUUGGUUUGAUUGAAUUAAGUAUUAUUCCAUUGCAAUAACACAUGGUUGGUAGAUCUUGUGAAAAAAUUAUUCUUGUUCAAGGAGACGACGUGUUGUUUGUCACAGAUAUUAGAUUUACAUGAUAUGGAGCAUUCUUGCAUUGCACGUUGGUUUUUACCUACUUUCUAUGUAAAUAGAAGUGUAUGUUCAGUUGUUUACUCUUAUCCUUCUAUGUAUUUUCAGGUUGUAAUUUUAAUUAUUAUCCCUAAGUUGCGGGGUGCAAGAUCUUUGAAUACCAAGAAUUUGCUGAAGUCUGUUGUCUUUUUCCAAUAUAUUCCGAGGGUCCUUCGCGUUUAUCCUUUAUAUAAGGAAGUCACAAGAACAUCUGGCAUACUCACUGAAACAGCAUGGGCUGGAGCUGCUUUCAAUCUCUUCCUUUAUAUGCUUGCCAGCCAUGUAAGUUUGCAACAAGCUUGAGUUACAAUUCUGAUGGAUAUGCUAGAUACUCUGUUGUUCAAUUUUGUGCUACCCGAAGUUACCUAUGGAUGAUUCUAUUUGCAUUUAAAAUUUUGUCAUGUCUGUACCAAUUGGUAUCCUAGAAAUAAAAUUUGUAGAUUUUCAGCCAUAUUAAAGUUUUUCCUGGCAUACAAGCUUAUGCUUUACCAGCAGAUAUCAUUAGUAUGCUGAAAUAGUUACAUCAUUCUCUAUUAUAUACUUUUUUGGACUCAUUAGACUGAGAUUUGAGUGACUUCCUGCUCUUUAGGUACUUGGAGCCUUUUGGUAUCUGUUUUCUAUAGAACGUGAAACUACUUGCUGGAAACAAGCUUGUGCAAAUUCCUCUGUCUGUCGUCAUGCCUCGUUGUAUUGUGAUGAUGAUCAUACAGGAUUUAAAACGUUGCUGAAUAUUUCCUGCCCUAUAGAGACACCAAACACAACACUCUUUGAUUUUGGGAUGUUCCUUGACGCUCUCCAAUCAGAUGUUGUGGGAUCAAUGAAUUUUCCACAGAAGUUCUUUUAUUGUUUCUGGUGGGGUUUACAAAACUUAAGGUAUGCAUGCACUCUGUGCUUGUUUUUUUUUUUUGCAUAUUCAAAAGAAUGUUUAUUAGAUCUUUAUAAAAAGUGUCAUUCUGUUUAACCACAUUUGCAUGGAUAUGUAGUGGUCAUUAACCAUCUUUUUAAAGAUCAAGAAGGAAUACAAAGAAACUCAAUUUUAGAAUAGUUUGUGGCUUACAUAUGGUAUGCGUAGCUUGAGCAUAUUAGACUUUGCGAUGCUGGAACACUGGGUUUUUAUUAAUUUUAUAAUGUCUGAAAUUUGUGAUCAUAUCAUCUAAUUGCUCAAACAGUUUGCAAGAGUAAAUUGUUAUCUAUUAAUUUAGCUUUGCAAUGCGUCAUGUCAAGUAUAGCCUAAUUCAUUGUUCUUUUUGGACUAAGCACGUGAAAGAAUUUAGGUUCACAAUACGUCAUGUCAGUUGAUAUUUUUGGUUCGGUUUUCCUGCGUGAAUCUAAUUUUUAAGCUUAGGAAAUUGGUGAAUUCCUUCCUCUCAAAGAAACUGGGUUAAAAAAAGGAACUAGGCCAAAUCAACAAAUAUUUUUAUAGAAAUGUUUACAACAUUAAACAAAUUAGAGCACCAAAGACUCUUAUUCCAAUAUAGACAAAAAAUACUAGGUGAUUUCUUCUUAUCUUGCCAAGCAUGUAACUGUUUUGGUGGGAGGUAGCAAGUACCUUGUAGUCUGUAGAUAGUCGAGGCAUGCACAAGCUUGCCCGCUCUGUGAACUCCUGUUAGAAUUCUGAGUUGUGUCUUAAAAAGUUCAGUUUCGUUUGAGUUUUCUGUCUGGUUUUUCUAACCUAACUUUGAUCCUUUAUGUUGCAGUUCCCUUGGUCAAAACCUCCAAACAAGUACCUAUGUAUGGGAAAUUUGCUUUGCAGUUUUCAUUUCCAUCUCCGGCCUGGUGCUAUUUGCCUUUCUCAUCGGAAAUAUGCAGGUAGCAUUGUGGCUUUCAUUUUUAUGUUCUCUGUUCUGGAAAUUCUUAAAUGGCAUUUGACACACUUGACAGUAUACAAACGAGCCAUGAAAAUAUAAGCUAUCAGAGAUUCUAUCAAGAAAAUAGAACUUGUAUUGCAGAGUUCUCAUUCUGGUGUAUGACUGCAACCUCUUUAAAAUUUAGUCUACUUGAAAUAUCAAUUUAUUUGCUGUAAAAAAAAUUGGUGUGUCUUAUGUGAGUAAAGCAAUCCCAGGCUCUAAUCAGCUGAAUACUUGUUUGUGAUAGACAUGUUUGCAGUCCUCAACAAUGAGACUAGAGGAGAUGAGGGUGAAAAGGCGAGAUGCAGAACAGUGGAUGUCACAUCGGCUACUCCCUGAGAACCUCAGAGAGCGAAUUAGGCGCUAUGAGCAAUACAAGUGGCAGGAAACAAGGGGUGUUGAGGAAGAAAAUCUGAUUCACAACCUUCCUAAAGACCUCAGAAGAGAUAUAAAGCGCCAUCUUUGUUUAGCUUUACUGAUGAGAGUGAGUUUUUUCACUGUUGCUCUUUGACUGUGUUUCAUCCUUAUUUCGCGAAUACAGAUGUGAUUUAUCCAUCUCUAAUGGUUGGCAUCAUAACUAAGAUGAACCUUUUGCUUUAUAUACAAGUGAGAUUUUCCUAGAGUAAUAUAGUAAAAGAUCUCUUUAUCAGUUCCUGAUAUUGAUCAUGCAUGAAUAUUUUCAGGUGCCAAUGUUUGAAAAAAUGGACGAACAACUCUUGGAUGCACUAUGUGACCGACUCAAGCCAGUGCUCUACACCGAGGACAGCUACAUUGUUCGUGAAGGUGACCCAGUUAAUGAGAUGCUGUUUGUAAUGAGGGGCAAACUACAGUCUGUAACCACUAAUGGAGGGAGGACAGGUUUUUUCAACUCCGAGUAUCUAAAAGCUGGUGAUUUUUGUGGAGAGGAGCUUCUUACUUGGGCUCUUGACCCUCAUUCAUCAACUAACUUACCUAUCUCAACCCGAACUGCACAAGCACUCUCAGAAGUUGAAGCAUUUGCUUUAGUGGCUGAUGAUUUGAAGUUUGUGGCCUCUCAAUUUCGAAGACUUCACAGUAAGCAGCUCCGCCAUACUUUCAGGUUUUACUCAGGUCAUUGGAGAACUUGGGCAGCUUGCUUUUUACAAGCAGCAUGGCGCAAUUAUUGCAGGAAGAAGGUAGAAGAAUCUCUUCAUGUAGAAGAAAGCAGAUUGCAAGAUGCAUUAGCAAAGGAAGGUUCCAGUUCACCAAGUUUUGGUGCUACCAUCUAUGCAUCAAGAUUUGCUGCUAAUGCACUUCGCGCUCUGCGACGCAAUAAAGCAAAUAAAGCAAGAGUGCCAGACAGGAUAACACCCCUUCUGCUUCAGAAACCAACAGAGCCAGAUUUUACUGCUGAAGAUAAAUAACUGCCAUUAGUCAAUGUAAUGUGUGAUCAAUGAUUGAGUUGCAUUUUUGGCCAUGUUUGUUGUGUAUAAUACACUUAUAGGAGAUUUCUUCAUGCCUAAAGGCUUGUUGGAAUAAAAGCAAUAGUAUUUGUACAAAAGAAAUGAUGCUUCUACCCUUUUACCAAAUUAUUAUAGAAUCCACAACAAUGACAAACCACACAACCUCAAGAUUCAUUUGGACCUAUUUUAUUCUGGUGCAUGUCUCCAUGUAUUCACUGUUGUAAGAUUUCCUUAACAUUGAUUAAUUUCACGUUGAUUGUUAGCAUCAACUUACUGCAAUCCCCCUCCUUUAUCAUCCAUUGUGACUGUGCUAGGUGCGGAGUUACACUUGAUUUCAGCCCAAUGCUUCCCGACCUCGGGCUUCAACUGGGUUACCAAUGCUACGACUUGGAAUAAGCCAUUUAACUUCAGCCCCAGAUCAUCAGAGUGCACAAGAUUUAUAAACUCUUUAUUGGACAUUACUAUGGAUUUGUCUCUUCAUAAAUGAGCUACAGGUUGUGGUUGUUUGUCUUGGACAACGGCGAUGUUAAGCCAGCUUUCAUGCACCUAGACUAUUUCACUAGGUAUCAAGUAACUCAUAUGGUAGCCCAUCAAAAUUAAGGCUGAUGGAAGAAAUCACCUAGAGUUUUAUUCUCUGCUAAAAAAUGAGAACCAUGGUCUAAUAUUGUUCUUCUACUGUUAAAACAAUACAAUUGUGAAAUACUAAUUGUUUGGUUUCACUGAAUAUUGAUGUAUGUACAUAGCAGAAGAAACGGUCAUGGUGAAGCAGAAGAUGUACAAGAGAAGGGAGAACAUAUCACCAUGAAGAUGUACAAAAGUAGGGAGAACAUAUAAGCAGCUCCUCAUACGGUCGAACCAACUAAAAGUCGUGGCUGGAUAAAGCAAGAGGCUUAAAUUCUGCAUCUAACUUCGUGGAGUGAUUGCUCAAUAUUCUGUGUAAGAAAGAGACAGCUUCCACAAUGCAUUUACCCUUGUUCAACAUGAUACAACUUGUCCUGCAAUAGGAAAACAGAUUAAACAUAGUCGUGCUGUUGAAGAACAUUCUCAGGUCAAAGGUCGAGUUUCUACUACAGUUCUAAUACGAGUUUAAAACAGCAAGUAUUUGAAAUGGUUUGGAAGGGUAGGCGGGAAAGAAUAGUUUGAGGAUAAAGGGUUAGACAGGGGCUUUAUUUCUUUGCCAACACUGGAUGAAGUUCAUCUUUUUAGAAGAUAAUUUAAUGAUUGGGAGGUGGAUGAAAUCAGUGAAUUAUUUAAUUAUUGAAGCCCAUUAAACUGGAUGAUAACAACAAGAAUAGGAUGAUUUGGUUAGCUGAUAAAAGUGGUGUACUCUCUGAGAGAAGUUGUUACAUGAGGUUACAGAAGCAAGCUGGAAACUGGGAGGUUGAUCGGCCAUGGAAAAUAAGGCCCCACCAAAGGUUUCUUGUUUUAGGUGGGUGACUGCCAAGAGUGCUUGUUUAACACAAGACACCAUACAAAGGAGGGGUACUUCAAUGUAUAGCAGAUGCUUUUUAUGUGAGAAAGCAGGAAACACCACUAAUCAUCUACUGAUGUAUUGUGAUUCAACCUGGCAAGGUUGGACAUAAUUUCUGUGUGUUUUUGGUGUGCAGUGGGUGAUGCCAAAGGAUGUUAAGAGCGUCAUGCCAAGUCGGCAGGGAGAGAGAAUUCAGAACCAGUUGAAGCAGAUAUGGAGGACUGUCCCAUAGUGUAUCAUGUGGAAUAUUUGGCUGGAAAGAAAUAAGAGAUGUUUUGAAGAGAAGAAACAACAUCGGCACUGGAAUCUAAUUGCAUCUGCCGUCUGUUUUGUGUUGCAGGAAACACAGGAUAGAGAAUAUGGAACAUCUUUUUGAGCUUUGAACACCAUGAUGUAAUGCAGUCAUUGUAAUACUUUUUUUGUACUCUUCUGCAGUACCUUCUUGGUACUAGCUUUUAGUGAAACUAUCUUUACCUUAUAAAAAAUACCACUCUUUGACUGAUUUGAAGGAAAGAUAUCUUUCUUGAUUGCAUAUGAGCUAGUAAGUCCUACUCAACACCAGUCCCAUAUCUCAUGCCACAAACUAAAAGGGGCAGUCCUUCCAAGUACCAGUUUAAGAAACGAAUACCAAGUUCAACAGAAAUGGAAGAGUUACUCUUACAAAGUUGGGCAUAAAACCUCCAUAAUUAUUUCCAUCGUCCAAUUAAUUUGACUUUUAAUUGUCAAAUUAUUCAUGGUUCCUCAAAUGAAGAAGGGGCACCUUGUUACAUCAUCUAGUUCUCUUUGUACUUGGUUUUCUUUAGAGCUUUAUCCAUUAUUGACAAAUGACAAGUAUAAUGAUAUAUCCAUGCAUUAACAAGUUUCUACACCUCAAAACUAGUUAAACUUAUGCAUAUGUGCUGAGAGAAUUUCAGUUUUUUGAGAAAUAACUGAUCCAGAAAAAGAGUAUUCAAGUGUUUGACUUGAUAACUUAUGUCACGUUUUAAUGUUAGAAGUUGCAACACAUUUUAAUUUAAGUAUAUUUAGCAUUUGGUUCGAACAAAUUAAUGAAUAAUAUAUUCCUCACUAAUAGUUUUUAACCUUGUUCUUACUCAGGGAAGUGCAACAAAAUAUCACAAAAAUAAAGAACCAGCCAGACUAUAACCUCCUCUACUCCCUACUCAAUUCCUAAAACCUCAAAAGGAAAGAUAGGAAUCAAAAUACCCCCACCCACCCACACAGAUAUAGACACAAACGCAUACUGGUAACGAGAUUACUGACCUCAUUCCUUCUGCCACAUCAGUAAGCUCAGCUCUAGUAGGCACUCCAGAUCUGACGAGCGACUCCAGGACCUGUGUUGCCCAAAUGACAGGAACAUGAGCAGCUGUGCAGACAGAGAUUAUCUCCUUCUGUAUAUAUGCCAUGUUUUCCCAUCCACACUCUACAGCAAGAUCUCCUCUGGCAAUCAUAAUGCCCAAAGGAUUUGGCAUUUUCAUUGCCUCCAGUAGUAGGAGCGGCAAUUUCUCAAAUCCUUCUUUUGUCUCGAUCUUUAAAGAAAUCCCCAAGUCCCUUCUUUUCCGCUUCUCAAGUUCUUGGCGCAACAGUAGAAUGUCACGGACAUCUCGGACAAAUGAAACACCCACCAUGUCUGCAUGGUUGGCCACAAAGUCAAGAUCUAUAAGGUCCUUUGAAGUGAGACCUUCAUACCGAAUAUUGCUCCGCGGAAUAUUUAUGGACUUCUCUGAUCCAAGUUUACUACCCCUGGGACCUGCAUGGGUGAUUGACACAAGAAUUUCCAAAGUGCUAGUUGCUUUAAUAAUACCCCAUAUCUUCCCAUCAUCAAAAGCAAUAGGUUCCCCAGGCUUCACUGAAUCAAAAACAUAUUCAGAUGAGCAGGCUAUCCUGUGCGCACCAGUGGAAGAAGUCAAAUUGUUUUCUUCAUUUUGACCAUCUCGUGAUAUACUCAGCAAGUCAUCAACCCUUAAUUUGAUAAAUUGCUUGAGAGGAGGAAUAUUUACUACAUGUCCAGCUGAUAAUUUCCUUCUCUUGUCCUUGAUAAACAAUUUUGCACCUGACUUGACAUAAGCAGCCUUACUGCACUCAGCCAUAUAUCCGACGCCUGAGAAAAUAGGAUACCUGCUUAUGAUCUUAAGUGUCCUUUGUUUUCCACGAGCAUCAAAUAAUGUCACAACAUCAUCAACCUCGAGCUUACUAAGAAGUUCUUCACCGUCCACAUGUAGAAUAGCAUCAGGGGAUACAUGGGCUGGUGGAGAAGCAGCUCCUGGGCUUGAGAGCCAAACUAGGGCAGGAUAUAUCACUUUCCCAUAAGCAUUCUUCUUGGGAGAUAUUUUCAACACACAUGGACCAGCCUGCAGUUUUCCAGUUCGAAGCUUGGGCCCAGCUAAGUCCAUGAGAAUUCGACAAGGCUUUUCAAGAAUUUGAGAGCUUCUUUUCACCCUUCUGAUUAUCUCACUCCAAAUUUCAGGGCUUCCAUGAGCACAAUUGAUACGAACAAUGGUAGUUCCAGCAUUUAGAAGAUCUUUCAUUAAUGUUUCACUUUCUAUAGCUUCUUCACCCACUGUUACCAUGAUAUGGGUGUUUCUCUUCUCUGGCAAUCUGCCCAAUAACAGGUCCGCAGUAUGGGAUGCCCUCCUCCUUAGUGUAUUAAUAGAAAAUUCCCCCUUCAUUUGUUUGUCCAGACCUUUUGUUGAAGAGAUUCCUUCACUAUAAGAGAUAGUAUGACUAGAAGAAUCAUAUUUUAAAUUAUCUAACAGCCGGAUGCCUGCAGAAAGACUUGCUAGAACAUGUUGAUUUAUUGUGUCUAAAUUCAGUAAACAAAUGGAAGAAAGUUCUUCUUUAAGCUGCUCUAUGUUGAGGCUUUUCAAGGCCAAAUAAUGAAUCAGGUUUGUCGCACUGACCAAGUAAUUUCUGUCAUUCAUGGAACCACAAGUUAGUUGCAGGAAAAAUGAUCAAGCAGGGAGAAAAUAGCAAUAGAGUUGCUGAUGGAAAAGCUGAAUAUAUAGUAGGUACUUUAAUCACAUUAUGCAUAAUGCUUCAAGUUUAUUUUAGAACACUCAAGAUACAAUAAAUGAAAGUACCUAAAGAAACCAAACAACCUCAAUGACAAAAAGGAAAAGACAAGAUUGAUUUUUCGUACUAUACUGGUUAAAUUUUCCAUGCUGGCAAUGUUCUCACAAUAACCCUCCCAUUAGUUCUUUUAAGCACAUCCUUUCUACACGUUCCAAUUUACAUUGUUAUUUCUUGUCUUAAACUUUAUCUGCUGGUAUUUCUCCUUUGGCAGUCUCAGAGAUGAAAAAAA